AGAAAAUGAUAAUGGUAGAUGUUGUGAGCAUAGACAAACUAGUCAUUUCAUUUGUUUUUUUAUUGAACUUCCAUGCAAUUAAAGUAACAAAGUCUCAAAAAAGAUUCAGCAUGCUUGCAUUCUUUCUGCUUUUGCUAAGAGCCAGGAAUAAUUAUGAAAGUAUGUAUAAUUCAUAAAAUCAUGUUUACCUGCUGUGGUUGUUGGUAAGCUCCUGGCUGCUGGUAAUUCCCGUAUCCAGGAUAGCCCCCAUAGUACAUGUUAGGAUCUUGGGGAGGAGGUGCAUAUCCAUAUGCUUCAAAUCCUUGAGCAUAUCCAUAAUAUCCACCAUUCCACUGGGCCUGAUCUGGUUGAGCCUGAAACUCCAACAGAUUUCCCUCUUAGUUUGCAGAAAUAUAUACAGCAAGGUUUUAAUUGCAAAAUACUAUGAUUUUAAAUACAAAACCUGUUUGCUUGAAGGACUACGUCCCCAUGAAAGUCGAAUGUUUCUUCCUCCUAACAUGGUGCCAUUCAAAACUGAUAAAGCUUGCUCCGCACUAGUUCUGAAGUACAUCAUAUUGCAGAAUAAAUUAAUAUAAUAUAAUAAUAUUUCACACACUUAAAUAUAUGGAAGUAUUUACUGCUUACCUGUUAGCAUAUUGAACAAAACCACAAUGCUUGUUAGCAGGAAUUUUUACAUGAACUACCUCACCCAGCUGGCUAAAUAUUUGUUUUAAUUGAUCUUCAGAAACACUGGGAUCCAAACCACCGACAAAUAUCUGCAUUUAAGCAUGUAAGAUUUCAGUUGACCAUACCAUGAAAUAAAGUAUAUUAAUAAACAUAAAAAAGCUACCCACUGUGGUAUUAUUUGGAUCAUUCUCGCCAGGAUUUCCUUGAGUAUUCUGGUAAGAAGCUGCAAAUGACAAAUACAUGUAAACCACCAUUGAAUGAGAUGAUAAAAAGAGCUCAUUGCUUCUCAAAACUCAAAUUAAACAUUGUUGAAAAAAGCAAAGCAUUAAGAUAAUACACUUACAAAUACUAAAAAAGUUAAAAAAAAAUUUCCUCCAUGGCAUGCAAAAGAACAAAAAUGUAAAACCACCAGUUAUAUAUCACUCAAAAGUUACAAUUGCAACCAUAAACAUCUUUUGGGUUACAUCAAGGCUUACCAUUACCAGGGAAAGUGAAAAGUAUCAGAUUAAAUAGAUUUCAAUAGUAGCCCAAAAAGAAAUCAUUAACUACACUAAACUCAGGGAAUCAGUAAAGGUGCUAUUCUUUCAUUAACCUUUUAAAAUAGAAUGAAAAGGAGAAAAAGGAAAAUUGAAAUCAGAGACUCAACUUUUCUCUGCACUUGACAUGAAAUAUUUCCUUUUUCUCCUUUCUUUCACUUAUUUUUUGUAAGGGGGAGGGGAGGGAGGGAGGAAGUUGUCAGUGCUAUAAUAGAAUGAUUCACAACUUCAACUUCAAAGAUUAUGUUUUAGUAGAAAGAACCUAUCUGCUAAACUAAUUUCAGAAAUGUUUUAACAUUCUCUGCAUAGACAGAAACCUAUGAAGAUUAUAUUAGUAGCCACAAAAUGGCAAGACGAAGAACAUAUUUAGAAACUAAGGAAAUUCUUGUAAACUGAAGUGACACAAAACCUCAAAUGACAAGUAGAAAACAGAAUGCCUUGAAAAUGCAAUAUUAAUACUGGUAGAUUCGUAAGCAGCUAGGCAUUCACUAUUUAGGUUUGGACAAAAAAGCAUGGACAAGUGAUCUACUUCCAUUGAGGUUAAAUCCAUUCACUGAAAAUGCCUUUAACUAGAAGUUCCAGGUUUCUUUCCUGACUCAAUUUGUCCUCAUUUGUAACAAAGCAAUAGAAUGAGGACAAAGAAGUUACUAUAACUUUAAAAAGAAGCACAGAUUUAAAAUGCAAUAGAACAAAACUUGCCCCAAGGUUCAUUAACAGAAUGGUGCAUGAUAACAUGCAUAGUAACUUUACCCAUGGCUGCUUCACCUAGUUUCGAGCAUUACAGCUUGAAUUUAAAGGAAACAAAAAGGAGUGCAUAAACAUACGCAAGUAUCGAAAGGGAACUGAUCUAUGAAAUUAAAAAACAAAAAAGUUUCUGGACUCGUAAAAGAAUCUAAAGAAAGAUUUAAAGGAAACAUGUUGGGAAAACUGAAACAAAUUGAACUUGACUGGAAUACUUAAUAAGGAACUGGAAAAGUAAUUUGCGAAUGUAGCACAAAUACUGCCACGAGAAAAUGAAGCUUACGACAUAAACAAAGUAACUGACCUAAAAUGAGGCCACGCAUUAAAGUGGAAUCAUUUCAGCUGAUAUCAGUUCCAGGCCCCCCAAAAUGAGAGCCUCUUGGUGUCCUGCUUUAAGACAACAUGAGUUUUAUAUAAGUUUGUGAAUGUUUUAAUAUAAUUAAACGUGCCCAAGUUUACAAAGGCAAACUGGAAGGAAAUGACUUUGUAUAAAUCCCGCCAAUCUUCUAGUGCAAAACUGAAAGAAUUUGAAUUUUAAGGACACUGUAACAACUAACAAGUAACAACUUCAACUCAGAAAAUUAAAACCCAAAAAUAAAAAUAGAAUAACCAACAAGCAUUCAACUUGUCCAGUCAAAGUACUCUAGGUUAAUCAUGGCAAAUAGAAACUAUAAAAAACCAAGCAACCUUCUUAUAGAAAUCAAGAUAAAUAAUGAACUUAACAUAAACCACAAGAUAGUACCUUUUGGAUACUGCUGACCAGUGACCGGCUUCUUAUUAGCAGCUGGACCAAUCCGCAUUGCCCUUGUAGAACAAUAAAUCCCGUUCAUUUCGGUCAUGGCACGAAGCUGCUCAGUUUCAUCACCAAACCUCACAAAGCCAUAACCUUUGGACCGUCCUGUACUCCUAUCAGUGACAACUUUGGCACCCUUCACGGAUGGGUAAACAGCUUUAAAAGUCUCUUGCAACAUAUAAUCUGAAACAUCCGCAGCCAAAUCCCCAACAAAGAUUGUGUAAUCAGGACCCUCAUCUUGCCUCUUUUCCCCAUAUCCAAGUGCCGCCCAAUUCAACCUAAAAUUCUGCUCAGAAUUCGGCAUUGGCACCCCAUUAUACGACUGCAAAACCCUCUCAGCUGCCGCACGUGACACAAACUCGAUAAACCCAUACCCCUCUGGUAGCGCCGUUUGCUUAUUCCUAAUCACCUUAGCUGAAGCCACCUAAAAAAACCCAAAAAAUAUUAAACUUCCUUUAAUUACUUUUUACUGAUUUUUUUACUUAAGCAGUUAAGUUUAAAAGGAAAAGAAAGGAAAUUCAUUUAAAUAACAAAAGGGAAUAAUAUUUUGAUUAAUUAAAAUAUAGAUAAAACUGCGAAAUUUAUUCGACUAUAUUUGCUCCGUUUAAUUAAAUUUUAUUAUAAUUUUUUUACUAUUUUACUAUUUACUUAGGCACUCUUAAAUCUUUUUUUUUCUAAAAGCCCCUAAUUUUUUUCUCAAAUAUUAUAAUUAACUAAUUAAUUACCUCUCCAGUGUGAGCGAAGAUGUUGAUGAGGUAAUUCUCAUCCAUCCACUGCUGAAGAUCACCGAUCCAGAGGGAUCGAAUCUCGCUGGAGCCGGCGGCGGCUGAACCGGUGGAGUACUGCUGCAUCUGACCGGGCGGAGGAACGGGUUGCGGAGCCCAACCGGCAGGUGGAGGAACCGGCUGACCCGCCUGCUGCUGCUGUUGUUGUUGUUGCAUCAUCAUCCACGGCUGCGACUGCGGUUGCUGCUGGUACUGCUGGGUUUGAGACUGAUCGGCUGCCAUGGACUGCGGCGGAGCUACGCCUCCUGCUGGGGGUUGUUGCAUCAUACUCGAUAGAUAGAUAGGGAAGAGAAUCGGGAGAUCUCAGAGAGGAGAGGAAACCCUAGGCGUAAAUUGAAGUUUUAUAAAGAGGGGAUUUUUUUUUUAUGGACAAGAGGAUGCCUGUCGGGUAACACGUGGAGAAUGGGAAUUGGGUCACAGUAAUGGGCUUUUGAUAGGAUAAAUCUGGUAUUGGGCUUGGUAUGGGUUAGAUUGGGCUGAGUUUAGGCUAAAAUUCAUCGCCUUUGUUAAUAAAAAACGCUUCUUAAGGAUGUAAUAAAAAAAAAUUUUAUCAUUUCCCUUCGUCUCAUUAUUUUUGUUCUUUAUUGAUUUUUUUUGUUAAACAAACUCUAACUUUGAUCAUUAUUUUAAAAACCAUUGUAAAGUUUAAAAUUUUGAAUUUUAAACUUUUUUAAAAAAAUUUUUGAAUUUUUAAUUUUAUAUAGUAGUCUUAUAAUAUGAUAAGAAAAGUACACCAUGAUAAGAAAAAGAAAUUAAAUUGAACUUAAUAAUUCUAAGUGCAUGUAGAAAUGGUCCAAUCCCUUGUUAUAAUUCUUAGUGUAAGCAUUACUUGGUAAAAUUUUCUUCUAUCAAUGAGUAAUUACUUCAUUUUAAAUGCUUUUUGUUAACUUGUUGCCUGGACUAUACUACCAUGGCCAGAUCUUAUAGGCUGGAGUACCAAUCAAACUCUCAAUGUUUCAAUAAAUCACUUGGAACCUUCAUAAAAUAAAAAUCUACUUGGCUUGUAUAGGAAACUUAAAGUUUAAUUUCCCAUGUCUUGAUUUAAAAUACAGAGAGAAGGAUAACAAACAGAAGAAUUUUAAGCUUAUUCUUCUACUUAUUGUAGAUACAGAGAGAAAAAUAACAUUGAUUAGGUAAAUUAUUGAAAGCAAGUGAUCCCUUUGCUUGACAACUCUGUGAAGUCAACAUCUUGAUCAACCCAAAGCACAAUAAUUUCAACUACCUGGUUUUUUUUUUUUAUGUAAAUAAUAAAGAUUAGCACAAGUAAACCACUAAAAUUUGAUUGGGACUAGGCGAACAAGUGAAAGAAAUGAAAAUGGAAAGUAGCCUUUGAUUUACCUGUGUUUAGUUGAUGGCUCAAACGUACUCAUUGAUGUUUAAACAUGCCUUUGCAACUUCCCCUGCAAUCAUCUCACAGUUCUUCCCUGUAAGGUGGUAGCUCACCCCAAAAGCCCCAAAAGCUCCUGCCCCAUUGAAUGGUCUUGGCGUCUUGCUCAACUAGUUGCGGUGUCUUUUUAAACAAUUGAAACAGUGAAAUGUAAAACAAAAGUAUUAAUGUUACAUGUUAUAAGGGUAAAAGAAAAAAUAGGCAUAUUAUAAUUUACAAGCAUUUUAGGUCAAAAAUUCAUUAAAAGUAAUGGAAUCAUUCACUAAAAGUGAUAUUUUAGACCAAUCUUCUGAUUACAGUGUACUACUCAAUCAUUUAAGUAAUUUAAGUAAAGACUUUGAAAAAUUAUACAGUAUAAUAUUAUUAAAGACUCUAAUUGCCUUUGCACAUACCGAAUAAAAGCUUGAACUUAAUUCACUAAUCAAUAAGAAAAACUCUUAAUCAUCAAUAACGAUUAUGUUGGGAGGAUAAGGAGAAUGAAUAAGGUAUUUUUAGUUUUUGUGAAUAAUAUUCCUGCCAAAGUCCAUGAAGAUGGCUUCAAAGGAUUUGGGAUCAAUUUGGAAAUGUUGUCAAUACAUUUGUAGGGAGAAAUAGAAGCAAAUACAGUCAGAGUUAUCCUUUUAUCAUAUUUGGAUAUUUUAAUCAAGCUAGGAGAACAGUUCAAAGUUUAAAUGGAGUCUGGCUUCUUAACCAAAAGCUAAAGGUCAAUAGAGCCAGCUAUGGAAGCCAUGAUUCAUUUUGAAGGAGGAAGCAAAAAGGAAGCUUCUUAUGCACCUAGUGUUAACCACUUAGGAACGGAACCUGCAGUGGGAUUUUGAGACAACUUGGCUUUAUUCACUACGCCAUCUUAUGCUCUGUUAUUGAAAGGUCCUUUUGAAAAAGGUGGAGCUUCAAAUGAAGAGAGAGAAUAUGAUCUUCAAUGUCUUAACAAGCAUGGAAAACAUGCUUUGGUUGAAGAGAAGUGAUGUGGUAACAACAUAAUGUAAUUCAGAUUUAGCAAAUUUAAUAGAAUUAUUUAAAAUGGAAGGCAUUUCAGGGCUGCUUAUGAGGAGUUUGUCUCUCAAAAGAAUUUCUGCUAACCUUUGAGGAUAAGGAGCUGUUGGAAGAGCUCAAGGAUAAAGGUUGGGAUUGGCUUAACAAAUGGUUUACUAAGGUGGAAACAUAGUUAGAGAAUUUUUCAUCAAAACUCCUUAACAAGUGGGUGAUUGCACAGGAUAUCCUUUUGAUGUGUGAAAUAGGCAUAUUAUAAAUUAUAAGCUUUUAGGCCAAAUUCAUUAAAAGUGCCAUUCUAGACUAGGUUUUGGUUGUAGUGUCGUUCUCAAUCAUUUAAGUAAUUUAAAGACUUUGAAGAUUAUGCCUUAAAAUAGACAAGACUAAAGUUUUCAGGGUGUAUACCUCUGUUUUGGCAUGCACAUAUGUCUUUGAAUCUAUGAAGAAACCUGUUGUCAUCUUGGGACAUCCUUUUACACUGAAAUAAUGCAAAGCCGAUAAGACAAAGUGAUAUCCCCUUGGACAAAAGUCAACAAGGCUUGGCAGUUCUUUAAGUGAUAAUUCUCUUAAUUGAUCAAACUUUAUCUCCUUUUCAGUUGUCGCUUCUGCUUCAUCUUCAAGUUCAAAUACUUGCUCCAAUUUAGAGUUCCCUUCAACUUUUAACUCUUCAAGUUUUGGAAGACAACGAGCAGAUCCAAGAGGAAAGAGAUGUUUUAACUUUUUGCAAUAUUUAACAGAAAUUAUGGUCAAAUUAGGAAAGCUUAUAGGUUGGAGAUCAUCAUCUGAUGAUGAACAAACUUGAUCCUCAGCAAUGAUUUGGUCCAAUUCAUCACAAUUUUGUAUUUCUAGGUUGACCAACCGUGAUAAACUUCGAGCAAUUGUAGGUGAAAAUAUGUAUCUUAGCCUCUUGCAAUCAAUCACCUCCAGAAUUGUAAGGUUUUCAAGAGUUACAACUUGAGCGACAUCCUUCCAUAUAAUCUGCUCUUCAGAUAAGUCCUCCAGGUGGAGUUCCUUUAUACGCCCAUGAACUUGGAAUACUUCUUCAUGACUCCCAACUGCUAUAUAUUCUUGAUUGCAGUUGGCUGAAAUACGCAAUUGAAAGCUAUUUACCAACUCAGAGAGAUAUAAUUCCUGCAAAUACAGACACCACCAAAUGUCACUAAAUACGUUCCUUUUCUAUUAGAUUGGGAAUAGAUGAGCAAAUAGUACUCAUAAUUUUUUAGAUGCCAAUUCACAAGAAAUCCUUACAUUUUUAAUGAUAGGACAUAUAUAUGUUUCAAAAUUUAAAUCCAAAAUUUUCAUGAAAUGGUCUGAAAGUGGAAUCCAAAGACAUCUAACCUCUUUCAAGUUUUUCUCUGUUAAUUUUUAACAUAAAACCAUUUAUGGCUUUCCUUUUCUUGUGUUUUUUUCUUUGUCAUUUUUUCUUUAAGCAUGUUGAUUUGAAAAGUAUAGAUAAAGUGGUAAAGUGUUAAUUUUUUUUAAUUUACCUAAAUUACAUAAAAAAAAAAAACAUAAAAGAAAUGAACCCCCUGGAAAGCCUAACUUUCUCAAUCUGUUUCUCUUGUCUGCAACAGCAAGUAGAAACACUUUGAAUAAAAAAAAAAAAGGGAACUCAUGGCCAAGAAGAAAAAGAAAACUUAAAUUGAAGAAGAAAGAGAAAAUUCGAAUCAGAGAAAGCAAGAGAAACUAGAAUCGAAGAAGAAAAAGGAAGCUCGAACAAGAAAAAAAGCAAGAUUUGUCGUCUUGAAGAAAAUAUAUGAUGAACCUCAAUUCAGAAACAAGGACAAGGAAAACCCAAAGAUCCCCACAAACAAAUUAAAAUUUGUUUUUCAAAAUAAAUAGUAUAAAAUUUUUGUUCUGCAAUUUUAAAAAAUAAUUGGAUUAGUUUGUGAGUGUUGAAAAAAAGAUUUAGCUCAAAGGCAAAAUCCAAAACCAUAAUUGAAGGAAAAGUGUAUAGAGAAAUACCUCUAGCUGAAUUUGCUCAUUAACUUCUUUUUGAAUAGUGAAAUUUCUCAAUUUAGGACAGUUGCAAACUUUCAACUUCUCCAAGGAUGGUGAUGAGAUGAGAAAGUUUUCUGAACUCAAAUUUAUCAAGUUUACAAGUUGAAAAUCUUGUAGGCAAGGGAGUCCAAUGGCACAAUGAGCUGGCCCUUUCCAUAUGCUCUCUAAUGCUGGUAAUAACCGUAGCUUCAACCUUCUUAAAUUUGAGAGUGGUACUGCCUGAUUUACCUCACAUAAAAAAAAAUAUAAAAUUUAUUAAUUAAUAAAUAAUGAAAAUGAAUUCUUUAUACUUGAUCUUAAUUACUGAGAAGAAAUAUAUUUUGUUAAAAAAAAGUAGAAAGAAGUAUUAAAAGUUAAUAAUUUAGAAAGAUUAGAUAGUAAUUAUUUAUAUAUUUGAUAAUUAAAAAAAAUCAUUAGAAAAACAAUAUACGAGACCAUUAUUAAAGGAAAAAUGAAGAGAUAAGAGGUACCUCUAGCUCAGUCAUUUCUUUAUCAAAAGCAAAGACUUGCUUUAAUUUUUCGCAUUCAGAUAUCUCACACUUCUCUAGAUGCAACAGACUUUGAGCAAGGCAAGGUGAAAAGAUAGAUUUCAAUUUAUCACAACCAUAAACUAUUACUUCCUUUAGACUUUGUAGGCUUACAUGAUGAGUUGGCUCUUUCCAUAAACUCUUCAAUGUUGGCAAUGACGUAAGCUCCAAAUAAGUUAAAUUUGACAAUGGUUGUACCUGAUUUUCCUGACAUAAAGGAAAAUAUAUAAUUUUUUAAUUAAUAAAUAUUGAAAUAUGAAUUCAUUGUACUUAAAUAUUGAGAAGGCAUAUAUUUUAAAAAAAUUAUAAAUAAUAUGUAUUUAAAAGUUAAUAAUUUAGAAAGAUUAGAUAGUAAUUAUUUAAAUAUUAAAUAAUUCAAUAAAAUGAAAGAUAAUUAGACAAAGAAUAUAUGAGAGCAUUAUUAAAGGAAAAAUGGAGAGAUAAGAGGUACCUCUAGGUCUACCAUUUCUUUGUCAAAAGCAAAGACUUGCUUUAAUUUUUCGCAUUCAGAUAUAUUAAGUGUUUCUAGAUGCAACAGACUUUGAGCAAGGCAAGGUGAGAAGAUAGAUUUCAGUUUAUCACAACCAUGAAUUGUUACUUCCUUCAGACUUUGUAACCUUACAUGAUGAGUUGGCUCUUUCCAUAUAUUCUCUAAUGCUGGCAAUGACGUCAGCUCCAAACUUCUUAAACUGGAGAUUGUGCGCGUCGGACUUUCUUCCUUUCCAAAAAGCCAAUUCAUUUGAAACACUGAUUGCAACUGCUUACAAUCGACAAUGUGCAAUGUUUCUAACCUUUUUAAGAAGCUAAUCGAUGAUUGACCAUGGCACAACUCUUUCAAAGAAGUCAUGAAUGUAAUGUCUAACUUCACCAAAUUAGAGAAUGCAGUGGUUGGACUUUGUUCUCGUGUUGUAUCGAACAAGCAUUCUAGAUUUUCACAAUAUACAAGCUCAAGAGAAGUUAAUUCCUUUAGUCCGCGCUGAUCUACAUUUGGGACAAUAUUUUUGUGUUCCAUGGUGACCUUGGACAAAGUAAGCUUCUCCACAUUGCAAAAUAGCUCCUUGAAUGCAUUUAAUGAGGAUGAGAAAUCCUUAAUUCUCAAGGUUCUCAAGCUCAGCCCCUCCAAAACUUCGAUACCUUCAUAAUAUUCACUUACAGCUAUAUUGUAGCUUUGUAGUUUAGGGAACACAAAGUUUUCUUGAGAACAUUGAUUAGUAGAAACUGUCAGUGCUAAUCCAGUCAAACCAGUCAAUGAAUUCAGCUCCAAUAAGUUAGCAUUGUUAUCACUUGUCAUGUGUAGCUCUUGGAGUGAGGUCAACCUGUUACAAACAAACACAAAAUGUAAUUAAUGCAAUAAUAGCACUUUCAACCGAAUGAUAAAAAUAGCAAGGUAAUGAAAUGAAUAAGAUAACAUAAACUUUUUUAUUUCUUCAUUCUUAAAGCUACUUUUGUACUACGGGUUGCAAUGUUUCAUAAUAAUAGCAGUGACCAAAAGCUCAUGCUAGAUAUAUAUAUGUUUGUGAUAGUCAAAUCAAAUAAAGUAAAUAAUAGAGAAAAAAGAUAAAAUAAAUUAUAUAAAAUUAAAUAACUGAAAACAAUAAGAUAAACAGUUUUACCUUGGUAGCAAGUUAGGGGGGAAAUAACAGUAUGGCCCUUCAUCGUAAGAAAAAUAUAGUGAUUUUAGUUUAUGCAAUCCCACUAAUUCUUCUGGUAGCUCAUAAAUAUUAGUCUCCAGCAAUGCAAAAAUCUCAAGGUUUUCCAGAUUCCUCAAUGAUGAGAUGUUCUCAAGCUCACAAUUUAUAAUGCACAGAGUUCGAAGGUUUGUCAAGAAUUGAAGUGCUUUGAGUGCGAGUACCACAUCUUGAAGAAGUAAAACUUGGAGGGUUGUCAUUCUUUCAAAAAAUGCACACGAAACUCUCAGUGAAUUGUUUCCUGUGAGAAACAAAGUCUUGAGUUUUGAAAAUUUCACUUUGUUAGGAAGAUGAUUGAUCUCAAUGUUCCAUAAGGAGAUUGCCGUAUAACAUCCAAACCUUUCACUCAUAGGCCAUUCCGUCAACCAAUCUUUUACCAUGAAUAUGUUUUCCCCUCUCGAUGUUAUCCAAUGAGCAAAAUCACGAACCACAUCAUGCAUUUUUAUAUGUUCUUUAUCAUUAGCUUCCAAUAAUAAACCAGACUUUUGGAGUUUUGACAGUGCUAGAUGAAUUUCCCUCCUUAAGUCUUCCAUGAAGUAAUUAUUAUUAAACAAUCCCUGACCAAUUCCACAUAUAGUCAACAAUUCAAUACUAAUCUCAUAAUCUUCCGGAAAAAGGGCACACAACAAGAAACAUUGCUUGAUAUUAUCUUGAUCCAAAUAAUCAUAACUAAGCUCAAGGCAUGUAUAAAUACCUCCACAAACAUGUUGAUUAUCCAAAUGCCUUGAGCUCUUGAGUCGUUUAUUUGCUGCUAUCCACGCAUCUAGACUUUCACCUUUUAGAGCCUUUGCCACAGUUACAAUUGCAAGAGGCAAACAGCCACAUUCAGGAGCAACCUCCUUCGCUACAUUCAAGGUGGGAGAGUCAUCUUUCAGACCAGCUUUGUCUUUGAAUAAAACCCAUGCUUCAUGUUCAGAUAAAAUGUUCAGCUUAAAUUCCUCUUCACAAUCCAUUUUACAACAAACUUGUUGAUCACGUGUAGUUAAAAGAAUUUUGCAACCCUCGUGUUCACCACCGAAUGGAAUUCCUAUAAUUUGCAAUUCAAGUUCUUUCCAAACAUCAUCGAGAAUUAUGAGAAUCUUCUUCUCACUUUUUAAUCUCCGCCAUAACUCUUCUGCUUUUCCUUUUUCUGUACUUGCUUUAAAGUUAAAAUGUAAGAUUUCGGCAAUUCUGUCUUGAAUUUUGUUGAAGUUCGGAGUUUGGGACACUGUAACAAUCACAACUUUAUCAAAGAGCUUUUGUUCCGUAGCUUGCUUCCCCACUACUUCCGCCAAAGUUGUUUUACCCACUCCUGGCAUUCCAUGCAAUCCAAUCAUGUUCACACCAUCACUUUUUAAAGCCUCCAUAAUCCCACUGAAAGCUAACAUUGAAGAUUCGGAACGCAUGAAAUCCUUGGGUACUAUGAACUCUAUUCCUUGAAGAGGAGGACGCUGGCCGACUCGUGAAAAGUUACAAGUCUCUAAAAGCUUAGAGAUAUCAAGUGUCUUCUUCUCUACUUCCUUACUUAAAGAGGAUCUCCAGCUCAUACCAGACAGCCAUUUGGAACGCUUGUUACUUUCUAUUUUAUCUGACAAAUUCUGCACAUCUUUCAGUUCUUGUCUUGCCUUCGUUAGCCAUUCCUCAACGUCAUGAUUAAUUACCUCAGUUUGCCUUUCGGCUUCAUUCACGUCAUUCUGUACCUUAUCGAUUGCAAGUAUAAGUUGUUCCCUCUUUGCAUUGAAAUCUUCAAUAAUUUCAUCAAAACCGAAAAUAGGUUUUCCCAAUUUCCCUGCCAAUUUUUUCAGAGCAUUUGUAGUGAUAUUGGCAGCGACAUUGGAAAACACAGAGGUUGCAAAUUCAGCAGGACUGGUUUCCUUAGUAUCCAUUCACUGAUUAUCUGAGGUUGAAGAACAGGUUUGUUUGAGCAAAAGUAGUAACAGAGAGACAAAAGAAAUUAUUAAAAAUUUCAUUUUGUAAUAUAUAAAAGUAAAAAAAAAAUCAAAAAAAGAAAGAAAAUUGCAAAAAUCAACUUCUACAAAGCUAUAUUGGAAGCUAUGUUCUUUAGUUAUUAAAUAUUAAUGCAUUACAAAAUUGACUAAUAAUGACAAAAUUUCAUAGUUGAAAAUUUGCAGUGGAUUUGGUUGACUAAUAACUACUACUAAUUAUUAAGAAACUGUUUCCCCUAAACCCAAGAGAUCAGCUCACAGAAAAAUAAAAUAAAAUGCAAAUAUCUGUCAAGCUAAGAUGAAAAGAAUAGCUUAAUUUGAAAAUAGAAAAUAUCAGCCAAAGCAUCUGAACUCGAAAAUAUAUACUCAACUGUAAAACCAAGAAGAGGAUGAAGAUUUACAUACCAAGGAAAUAUAUGUGAACUUUGAGGAGCCAAGACAGAGCUUCAUAUAUUUCAGACACUAACAAAGUCGGUGAAGGUUUUUUUUUUCUUUUUUUUUUUGACAAAUAAAUUAUUUAUACUCAUAAGGACAUAUUUACGAAAUAAUAGUGACUAAAUUUCAUAGUUGAAAUUUGUCAGUGGAUUUGCUUAACUACUAGUAGGAAUCAGUUUUCUUGUGGAUUCCAAAUAGUAAAGUACCGAAAAAUCAAAUAUCUACUCAAAUGUAAAAUCAAGACAACUAAACCGCCAAAGAGACAGAUGAAAAUUUACAUACCAAGGAAAUCUAUAGAUGAACUCAGGGGAGCCAAGACGGGCUUCUGUUUUGAUCCAGGCAAUCUCACAAGGUCGUUGAAGUUUUUUUCUUUGUUUUUUUAUUUUUUUUUGUGUUCAAAGAAAACUGAAGUUGAAAUAAACUUUGCACUGCAAUGAUGAGAAGGCCAAGGAAUUAAUAAAUAACAGACUUACACUUGUCUUCUUUUUAAUGCGUAUAGAUAAUUCUGCUUCUGGAAGGUACUGAAAUCCUUUCUUGAAACUUACCACUCUGUUCUCACUACUUGAAUGUGAAAGGGUAAGAGACAAAUACAAGUUUCUAGCUCUCUGCUUCACACAAAUGCCAUGAGUGGAUUGUAACUGUAGACGAUCAAAACUGUUAAUUUGGCCACACAAAAUAAUUCAGUGCCAAUUUUGCAUGUAAAGAUUGCAGAUGUAUUCUCAAAUGCAUAAACCAUAGAAGAAAAUGAUGCACAUAUAUACCAAGGAAACAUGAAGUUUGAGGACCCAAGGCCAAGCUUUUCUCUAUUGAUCAAAGAAAACUCAAGUAGAAAUCAAGUUUGCACUAUAAUAACCAAAAGCCCACUAGCAGAGGGAAUUAAUAAACAACAAAUAUCUGUCAAUCUAAGAUCAAAAGAACAACUUAAUUUGAAAAUAGAAAACAUGUGUCAAAGCAUCUAAACUUGCAAAUAUCUAUACUCAAAUGUAAAACCACAGAAGAAGAGGAUGAACAUUUACAUACCAAAGGAGUAAUACAUGAACUUUAAGGGGCCAUGACAGAGCUUCUAUUUUGAUCCAGCCAAAAUAUAUUACAGAAACUGACAAAGUCGGUGAAGGGUUUUUUUUUUCUUUUUUUGAGUUCAAAGAAAACUGAAGUUGAUAUAAUAAACUUUGCACUGCAAUGAUCGGAAGGCCAGGAAAUUAAAACAACAAAAAGACUUUCACUUAUAAUUCUGUUUCUGAUAACAAAAACAGUAGUUGAACAUAGAAAGUAGAAACUCUUAAGGCAAAGACUUGUUUUCUUUGGAGUCGUGGAGAUACUCUGCUGGUUGGCUUUCCAGGAAGUGUUAUUGGAACAGACCACCUUCAACUUGCAUAUUGAUGUUAUUGGAACAAAGUGGAAACUUUAAAAAACGGGUGAGCAUUAUGGUAAGUCUAACCUUAUUGUAUGGUCAAUAAAUAUAAUUAAAAAAAAUAAUAAAAAUUUGUUUGAUAGUUUAACAAGUAAACUAUAUACUUAAUUUUUAAGCAUAUCCAUUUUAUUUUAUGUUAAUAACAUAGAUCAUUUUUAAAUUUAUUUAUUUUUUAAAUAUCAUUUAAUUUUAAUUUUAUUUUUAUCUUAAAAUAUAUGAAUAUUUUUAUUUUUAAUAAUAACAUUAUUUCUAAAUAAUUUAAUUCAAUCAAAAUUUUUUUUUUUCUCAAUUAAGCUUGUUAUCAUGGUAGGUUACGUUAAAUCUUACAUAGUUACAUCAAUAUUUAAACAAUUUUUGUUCCACUUUUAUGAUUUUUUAUGUUAAUUCUUAUAUAUUUGCGUUAAGAUUUUUUAAUUGUUAAUUUUUACUAUAAUUAUUUUUAUCCUUAUUAUUAUUCAUUUAUAAAUUAAAAUUUAAAUAUUUAAUUUUUAUAAAUAUUAUAUUUAUUUUAACUUAAUUGAUUUAUUUUGUUAAAUUUUAUAUAUUUAUAUUAAUAUUUUAAUAACAAUUAUUCCACUUGCAUAAUUUUUUACUUUAAUUUUUAUAGAUUUACGUCAUACCUUUUCCUUUUUUUUUUAAUUGAACAUAUUGUCUCCUAUGAUUUCAAUAUAUUGAAUCUGUAUAAAUCACUAGUUGCAAACAAAAAAAAAAAAAGAUCUCCAAGCUUUCUUUUUUCUUUUUUCCUUUUCCUAAAUUUGGAACAAUAGAGAGUCGACUCCUAAUUCUUUGAACAACAGCUACAUAGAUCAAUUACUGAGUGUCUAAGUCAAAUGCUUGGGUGCAUCCACAAACUUCUGUUGAAUUACUUUAAUAAAACUUAAGUUAAUUUCUCUAAAAAUUUACCAUGAUUCAAACGUAAGUUCACACCUUCUAUUUAUAUUAAUUUCUUUAAUAUAACCUUUUAUUACGUAAGUUCAGACUUUCACUUAUCUUCUUUGGAAUGCAUGCAGAUUAUAAUUCUGCUUCUGAUAACAAAAACUGUAAUUGAAUAUAGAAAGUAGAAACUCUAAGGCAAAUUAAGACUUCUUUUCUUUUGAAUCUCUUUUUCUUUUUAUUGUUACUAAUUUUUCUUAUUCAUAUCCUUAGUGAAUGACAAGGGCCCCAACAUCUUAUGCCUUAUCAUUGACCAAUUCUCUCACAAAAAGACUGGAAAAAAAAAAGUAAAGAAUGGAGUCAUGAAAACUCUCUGCUAAGGACACUGGUUUUUUUUUUUCUUAUAAUUGGGGAGGGGGGAUUCGAACUUUACUUUUUAAGUAGGGAGAUUACACACCAACUAAUAAAUCAAAUGUUCGGGUGCAGCUGAGGACCUUGGUUACCUUCCAGGAAGUUUUAUGAAAACUAGAGGAUGGGCUUGCGAGGAUGUCAAUGUAUAGAAAAUUUUUGAAAUUCUGCUUCAAAUUCAUUGAAUGAAUAUAUUAAAAUGAAAAGCCAUAAACUUAUAUGUAUUAUAUGUGUGAAACUGAUGGCUUUUCCGUCACAUUUAACAAUAAAUUGAAGUGGAUCAAACCUUAAGCAGCUGAUUUUUGAAAAAGCAUUUGGUUAAUUCUCACUCAAAGACAAAAUAUUGAUGAAAGUCUAAUUAAUGCAAAAUUGACUUCAUCAGAAAAUCAUGCCUCCUCGUGGUUAAUUAAUGUAUCUGUCUGAUUAUUUCAUUGGGAGGGUAAAAUAAAAUGAAUGCCUCUUCUCCCGUCCUUCUCCUCUUCCCUAAAGAACAUGUGACAGUGGGUCCGCACUUUGAAUAUUGUGUGUAAUAGGGAAGAAAGAGGUUUGGUCAGUCGUCACCUAAUUCAUUAUCUCUGCUCUAAAGUUAACAAAGAAAUAUUAAUUUGGAAUUAGGACUCUUCUUAGCUCUUGCUUUCGAAAGAAUUAAGUCUAACACGAAAAUCUUAUUUAUCAAAGUAAAAGGGAGAUUCUUGGAAUUUUCCCAGAUAUUUUUGAUUCAUGGUGGAAUAUUUACGCCACAAAAUUUUUGAUUCUUGGAAUUUACUUUUAUUCUAAGGAUAAUUAAGUUCAUACCUUUCAUUUUUUCUUUGUGUAUAUAUGCAAAUGAGACACAAAAUUAUUGGUGGAAUUUUGAAUUAUUGAUGCCUUUCUUUUUGUCGUUUUUCAUUUAUUUUUCAGUAUUAAUAUCUGAUCUACUUGGUUAGUUUACAUGAAAAACACUUGACUCUCCUUUUAAAUAGAAACUACUAUUAUUAUCUCGUAAGUGUCUUUAAGAGUUAUCACUUUACCCUAAUUUAUAUUUCUGUAGCAAUUAAGCAUUACUUGGUAAAUUAUCUUCUAGAAAUGGGUAACGACCUACAUUUAGAAGCAUUUUGUGAACUUUUGCGGUGCUAAAUCAUCAUGGACAAAUUUUAGUGAACAAAAGAUUCUUCCCGCAGCAGCUUUCUAAUAAAUUCUUAUACAUGAUGUAAUCAUGAGUGUUGUUUCUUGAGCCGGAAAUGACUUUAUUUAUAGGGAUGAAUAGAAUAUAACAUAUCCAACUUUGAUAUUCAAAUAAUAGAACAAAGUCAAGACAAGAUAAGUGUUUUGCUUAAGAAAAAGAAGAAUAAAGGAAAGGAAGACAGAUAGGCCAAUUUGGAUUUAGUUGACUUAUAGUUACGAUGACUUGCACUCAAUCCUAUAGAUGGGCCAAAGAAAUUGAAUUACUUCAAUGAAGCAUAGAUUUCCCCUAAAUAAAAUUUACUUUUAUUCUAAGGAUAAUUAAGUUCAGACCUUUCAUUUUUUCUUUGUGUAUAUACGCAAAUGAGACACGAAAUCAUUGGUGGAAUUUGAAUUAUUGAUGCCUUUCUUUUUGUCAUUUUUAAUUUUUUUUUCAGCAUUAGUUUCUGACCUACUUGAUUGGUUUACACAGAAAACACUUGACUUUCCUUUUAAAUAGAAACUACUAUUAUUAUCUUGUAAAUGUCCUUAAGAGUUAUCACUUUUCCCCUGUUUAUAUUUCUUUAGCAAUUAAGCAUUACUUGGUAAAUUUUCUUCUAGAAAUGAGUAAGGACCUACAUUUAGAUGCAUUUUGUGAACUUGUUGUGGGGCUAAAUCAUCGUGGACAAAUUUUAGUGAACGAAAGAUUCUUCCUGCAGCAGCUUUCUAACAUAUUCUUAUACACGGUGUAAUGAUGAGUGUUGUUUCAUGGGCUGGUAAUCGCUUUAUUUAUGGGAAUGGAUAGAAAAAGAUAUGCGUUUUGCUUAAGAAAAAGAAGAAUAAAGGAAAGGCAGACAGAUAGGCCAAUUUGAAUUUGGUUGACUUAUAGUUAUGAUGACUUAUACUCGAUCCGAUAGAUGGGCCAAAGAAAAAAAGGGAGAAAAGGAUGGAGUUCAUGGAAAUGCUCUCGUAAGGACCCUGGUUGGCUUUCCAGGAAGUGUUAUGGCAAGAGGAUGGGACUUGCGAGGAUGUAAAUGUAUAGGAAAUUUUCCAACUGACCACAAUUGUUGAAAGUCUGCUUCAAAUCUCUGAGUGUUCUUUUUCUUUUUUUGUGCUCCUACGAAUUUAGAAGAAAAUCGAUACAUUAUUAUGAAGACUUCCUUGUUUAAUGUAGUCAUCAGUUUCACAAUUAGUUCAAUCUUUUUUACUGAAGCAUAUUUAUAGUAUAUUGUCCUUGUUUAAUAUACUUGUAUAAGGAUUAGUAUAAUUUAUGAAGGGAGCCUUGUGAUGAAUGGUGGUAGUUUAUCUGACCGCCUUCUGAUGCAUCUUUCUUUAUCAUGAAGGGAGCCUUCACAACCAAAUAAAGUGGGACAAAAAGAACAAGCAUUAUUAAUUUUAUGUUAACAAGUAGUAUAGCAUAUAACAAAUAAACAAAAAUCAGUGAUAGUACAGAGCACUGUUAUUUCUCUUCGUCCCCAAAUAGUUUCUCUAGUUCAGAAGCAACUUCUGCUGUGAUUAUUUAUAGUUUUGGCAGAGCAACACUAACUGGAAAGAGACUUUUCAGUUUAUUGCAGCCUCCAAUUCUGGUUUUAUUCAGUGCACAUAAACAUAGAGGUUGGAAUGAAUCCUUUGAUGAUGAUGAUCCAAUUCCAAGUGCAUGUAGAAAUGAUCCAAUCCCAUUUUAUAGUUCUUUUUACUAGAAUUUUCUUUUGAUAUAGAGUAAUCACUUAAUUUUUUAAAAUUCUUUUGGUGAACUUGUUGCAUGGCUAUACUACCAUGCCUAGAUCUUGUAGGUAGGAGUAGCAAUCAAACUUUUCAGUAUUUCAAUAAAUCACUCGAAAACUUCUCAAAAUAAAAAUCUGCCUGGUUUUAAUUUUUCAUGUCUUAAUUCCUACCUAACAUAUUUACACAACUUAUUCACCAAAAAUUUAAAAUACAAAAAAUAAGGAUAAGAAACAGAGAAAUUUCACUCUUGUUUUUCUACUUAUUGCACAUAUAGAGAGCAACAUAACAUUGAUUGGGUAAAUUAUUGAAUUCGAUUGAAAACUCCAUUAAGCAAACAUCUUUAACAGGUCAAAAAUUAUUUUUAAAAUUUUUGAUUUUGUAUAAUAUUUUAAAAAAUAAUGAUCAAAAUUGAGUUUAUUUUUAAUGAAAAAUAUCCAAUAGAUACAAACAAAAUGGGAUGGAGAUAGCAUGUAUUUGUAAUAAUAUUCGGUUCCGUUGAUGAAUAUUUUUGCUUUCUUUUCUUUUCUCUUUUUUGCAAAAAAAGAAUAGAAAGGAAAAGGAAAAAUAAAAAAAUAAAUAGCAAAAAAGAAGAGAUAAAAGUAUCAAACUGGUACGGAAUUUUAAAAAAUAGUCAUGUAAUAUGGAUAAUUAUGGAAAUAAAAUGUAUGCUAUGGUAAGAAAAGGAAAUUAAAUUGAACUUACUAAUUCUCUUGCUUUUGAGCCUUUUUUGUCUUUUGAUAGGGUUAGCUUUUUAGUCUCAUGGUUUAUGAUGCUACCAAUUUUUUUGAGUAGCAGAUCCGAUUUGGAAAUUGUACAGGAUCUCUUCACCCUCACCAGCAGUUUAUAUUAUGAGAGUCUUUUGCAAAUUAACUUGAGACUUGAAAUGACAUGUCAGGUGUUAAGAUAAAUAAAAUCCACUUUUCAAAAAAAAAAAAUCUAAUUCUAAGUGCAUGUAGAAAUGGUCCAAUCUCUUUUUAAAAUUCUUAUUGUAAGCAUUACUUGGUAAAAUUUUUUUCUAUCAAUGAGUAUUUACUUUAUUUUAAAUGCUUUUUAUGAACCUAUUGCCUGGCUAUACUACCAUGGUCAGAUCUUAUAAGUUGGAGUAACCAUCAAACUCUCAAUAUUUCAAUAAAUCACUUGAAACUUUUAUAAAAUAAAAAUCUACCUGCCUUGUAUAGGGAAAUUAAAGUUUAAUUUUCCAUGUCUUGAUUGCUGCAUAACAUAUUUGCAUAACCCUAAAUACAAAAAUAAAGAUAAGAAACAGAAGAAUUUCAAACUUGUUCUUCUGCUUAUUAUACAUAUAAAGAGUAACAUAACAUUGAUUGGGUAAAUUAAUGAAAGCAAGUGAUCCCUUCGCUUGACAACUCUAUGAAACCAACAUCCUGACCGACGAAAAGCACAAUAAUUUCAAGUAACUGUUUUUCUCUUCUUUUUUAUGUAAAUAAUAAAAGUUAGCACAAGUAAAUCACCAAAACUUGAUUAAGACUAGGCAAAUAGGUGAAAAAAAUGAAAAUGGAAAGCAACCUUUGCUUUACCAGUGUUUACUCAUUGAUGUUUAAAAAUACCUUUGCAACUUCCCCUGCAAUCAUCUCACCAUUCUUCCAUGUAAGGUGGCAGCUGAUAAUUAAUCCAACUUUCUCGGUACCAUUCUACGGUCUUGGUGUGGACUACAUUUUGAGCAGCGGCGGACCCUUCAGUGACGUCUUGCUUAACUAGUAGCGAUGCCUUUUUAAACAAUUGAAAAAGUGAAAUAUAAAAUAAAAGUAUUACUGCAGAAGGUAGGAAGGAACCAAAGUCAGCGUACCAGUUGGAACCCCAACCUGCCCCAGCGAAGCUUACGCCAGGUGGUUUGCCGACAGGGGUUACCAGCCCACCAUCACGGGGUACUCAGAGUGAAUCGUCAGGUGGACCGGGUUGCCCACUUAAUCAGAGCACAGGAGCCUGCAAAAACAAUAACCCACAAGGCAUGUCAAACUUGCCAUGGAAGUAAAACCUGCUUACAUUUUGUAGUCUUCAGCUAAUUGCGUGGUAGGCACGGGCUCUUGUGUUGUGUUAGUAUUCAUCAUAAGCAGGCAGGCUUCAGUUUGUAAUUUAAGCAUUGUGUAAGUGAAGUAGAAUUAUGCGUUAUCUUGUACUUUGUGACCCCGUUGCUAGAUAGCUAGAAAGGGCUACUUGGGCAGACGGCUGAGGGGAUGCUCUUUGCACUUGUAAGGUGAUGUUAGAAGUUUGAGAAAAGGGCCAUGCUCUUUGGUGUUUUAGACUGAGAUGGUGAGUUAGUUUGACUUCCUUGUCUUUGUUGUAGUUGCUUCUUUUGUUGCCCAUCAGAGUUAACUAGUGUAAUUUAUCUGUUUCUCCAUUCAUCAUUAUCAAGUUGAUAUUGAUGCUAGUUGAGCUCAGCUGGGUGUUUACUUAUAUGCGGACGAUGGGUGACGAUGCUUUCAAUGUUGAAUGCUAAUUUGCCACUAUUGAUCUCUCCACUCAGCUUUCGUAUGCAUUUCUGUAAGAGACAUCAUUAUUCCUAUAUCUGAUUGCCAUCCAACAUAAAAAAAAAAAAAAUCUCAUGUUAUGAGGGCAAAAGAAAAAAAUAUACAUAUUAUGAUUUAUAAGCAUUUUAAGCCAAAAUUCAUUCAAGUUGGAUUUAGAAAAUUUUUUUCUUUUAUUAAUUUUCGAUGAUUUAGAAAAGAGAGGUUUAGUAAUUUUCAAUAUUUGUGAAUUUUGGAAAGAUAAUGUUAAAAAAAUCAUUAGUAAAAUUAUGUUGCAAUUAGCUUUUACAUUUGUUUAAGAUAAUAAAUGCAUGCUGCCAAUAUAAAUGUUUUGUUAGGAAGUAACAGAAAAAAAUUAAGAAAAUACUUUGUGCUUUCCAUCAAUUUGUCAGCCUUGUCCAUCAAGUCCAAAACGGAAGCAAUGAGGGUGCGCAACUAGAGAACGGGGAAUGGACAGUGUGGGUUUCAAGAAGAGUUGUGUUCAUUGAAAUGAUAGAAAUUUUUGUAAGCGUAAGUAAAAUGAUAUAAGUGAAAACUUAAGCUCUCCAAGGUACAAUCGGCAUACCUUAUAAGACAUUGGAGGCUUGCAACUUGGAUGGGACUACUCAUAAAUCCCAAAGAAAGUACACAUAGCAGUCUAUGCAUCUAAUUACUCAUAAAUCAAAGGGAUUACUUUAAUAUUCGUUUGAUUUGGUUACAAAGGUCAAUUAACUUAUGACUUGACACGUAAAAAGUCGAAAGCUAACUUUUUCUAUUUUCAAAAAUUUAGAUUAGUUCAUAUCUUUUUAUUAUAUCUAAUUAAAUCUCUGAAUUGUUAUUUUUCACUAUAUAUUAAAAUAAUUUUAGAUGAAAUUCAUGGAUGACUAUUAAUCCCUUAACAUUUAUAAGGCAUGUGAAAAAUAUGAUGUCAUAAUAAAAUACUGGUUAUAUUUACUAAUUAGAUCAGUAAACUAUAUUUAUUUUACCAUGUCAUGUGUCCAUCAUUGCCGCAUCAUAUUUUCCACUUGUCCUACAAAUGCCAACAUUGUCACAUAAUAUUUCUCAUGUAUCCUAUAAAUGCCAACAUGACAAGGGAUUAAUGCGUCCAUGGAUUCUAUAUAUCCAAAUAAGGGAGAGUGUUUGGAUAGUGAAAUAUUAUAUUUUAGAGCUUAAUUAAACAGCUUUAAAAGUCUCUUGCGACAUAUAAUGUGAAACAUCCGCGGCCAAAUCCCCAACAAAGAUUGUGUAAUCAAGACCCUCAUCUUGCCUCUUUUCCCCGUAUCCAAGUGCCGCCCAAUUCAAUCUAAAAUUCUAUAAACAGAGGGAAGAGAAUCCAUAAUAAAUAAUAAAUAAUUUACAACCGUCAGAGCUAUAAUUUCUUACUCUAUCUCUUCAAAGUAAGAAAGUAACUCGAACAUCCUCAAAAAUUGUAUGAAAUUCCAACUACGUGAUGUCAAAGUUAUCAGUUUUAUAUCUCCUAUUUGACAUUUGCAUUGUAAUUUUGAAAGAAGUAUUAAAUAAAUGUAUAUAUCCAUUAGAUUUGUGUCAUUUUUUUUUAUGUUAAACUUGUAAUUUUUACAUCCAAAUGUUGAUAUCGUUUUUCCAAAAGUUACAUUUUUCUUAUUUAAAAGCCAUAAAUAAACAUAUAUAUAUAUAUAUCCAUUAGAUUUGUGCUAUUUUUUUCAUAUUAAACUUGUGAUUUUAACAUUCAAAUAUUGAUAUUGCUUUUUCAAAAAUUAUAUUUCUCUUGCUUAAAAGCCAUAAAAGCAUAUUGAGUUCGGCUAAGUUAAGGCCUAUACAUAUCAAGAAGAAGUGGGCUUUACCCCUGUAACAUGGCUAAUUUGAUGGAAAAAAAAAAAAAAGCUCAUUUUCAGAGCUACUAGUAAGUCCAAAUUUUUGUUUAAAAAAAAUCAUCCAUACGGUUGUAAAAUUAUAUCUUAAUUUCACCAUUUUACCAUAUUUGUAACAAUUUUGUAAUGUCAUGUCAAUAUUUAUUAUAAUUUAUUAAUAUAUCAUAUUGAUGUUAUCUGAUUUAAAAUAAUAAAUAAUAUUUCAAUUAUUAAUACUAAAAAUUUAUUUAAAUAUAAAUUAAAAUAAAUAAAAAUUUAUUUAAAAUUGUAAUACUAUAUAUGUCUAAAAUAUUAAAAAAAUAAACUAAAAUCUUAAAUUUCAAUCUUUUACAAUAAUUUAUCUUAAAACUAAAUUAAUAUAAAUUAUUAUUUUCUAGAGGUUUUUCUUUCUUGCAGAUUUUUUUUUGUUUUGCUGUUGACUUUGAUAAUUAUGAUUAGGAAGACGACAUUAACUUCUUCUUUUUUGUUUUUUUUUAUUAAGUAAUAUUAUUCUGUUUUUAAUAAGAUAUAUAUGAAUCAUUAUUGUUUAUGGAAUUAAUGAAAAAGAAAUUUUUUUGGCCUUCCCACUUUAUGGGUUGUGGGUCCCGCGCCCGUACGAGUGCGUUCAAACAAGCAUCGGCAGGGGCGUCAAAUAACCUGACGGUAUUCGCCCCCACCCCAAAUAAAAAUAAAAAAUAUAAAUAUAAAGUAAAUAAACAGCCCGAGACCCAGAGAAGUUACGGACCCGAAGCCUGAGAGGAGUCGAAAAAGGAAAAAGAAAUUGGUUAGUCUCCGUCGUUCCCUUCCAAACCUUAAAAAGUACAACUUUCCUGGCCUGCUCCGGAACUCUCUCGAACUUUCUCUAAUCUACCUAUUAUACCCUCCCACACUUUAUACUCCUAAGUUCUGUCUAUUAUGGCUGUACCUCUUGCAUUGUGAACAUCUCCAUGCUCGACUACCUUCACCAGCUGAUGGAAUCCUUUUCCUUCUAGGUCUUCCCGCUUGGCUUCACCAAGGUGGGGGCAAGACGAUAAUUUAUUUCACAUGAGGGGGGAUGUCCCACUCACUAGGAUGCCCUACAGGCCUAAUGGAUCAUGAAUAACCCUCCACCAAAACGGUUGUCUUAUAGUAGUCAAUGCAGAAUUCAAUGGCUUCACGAUUGCAUUUACUGAAAAAUACAAUAAACUCAAUCGUCAAGCACAAUGUAAAUGCUAUGUCAAUUACUGUUCAAAUAAGAAAUAAAGAUAUUCUGAUCUUAUUGCUGCAAUGGCAUGGCUGCAUGGCAUUAAAUCUGUUUAGAACUCACAAGAUGAACAUGUCUUCCUAAACAGGUUUAUAAGUCUGUCCAUCUUCCCGUCUUUAACUUCAAACUCCACUCGAUUGAUAGGCUUAACUAGAAAGCGAUGUGCAUCAUUGAACCGUUUGCUCAACUACCUGGCAACCCAAAGGCUGAAGGGCGUGGUCACCUUGACGGCUUCCUCGUACCUGUCAUGGAACCAAUGCUGGAACAUAUCUCUGAUGAACUCGAUCAAAACAGUGAUUGGCAUUUGUCUUGUAUGCUUCAAGCAUGAGUUAACACAUUUCGCAAUGUUGGAUGUCAUCAUUUGGUAUCGCCUUGCCGGUGAACAUGCACGUGCCCAUUUCUCAGGCCCUAUUCUCAUAAGGUCAGCGUGGGCUCCCGAGUGAAUCUGCUGUAGCUGGUUCAUAUGUCUAUUGAAAUCAGCCACUUUAUAGCAAUCUCGAACAAGGGUAAAAAGCAUACAAACAUCGUCGCGCUUGAACUUGUUUUUAAAGUUUUUUUCAAGUGGUAACCACAUAAACCAUGGUGCGCUUCUGGGUAUGCAUUUUGGAUUGCUUUCUUAAUGUCGAGAUGCUGAUAAAAAAUGAACAUAGUGUUUUCAGGACAACCAACCGCAUCACGCAGCUUGCUAAGACACCACGUCCACGAGUCUUCGUCUUUAACAUGGCCGAUGCCAAACGCAACUGGAAAUACGCACUUGUUCGCAUCUUUGCUUACAGCGACAAACAGAACACCCUUGAACUUGCCUUUCAGAUGUGUCGCAUCAAUUGCAACCGUAAGAAGCAUUACAUCCCUAAACCCCCGAAUACAAGCCCCGUAUGACCAGAAACAAUAUUUGAAUCUUUCUUCCUCAUUAGUAGCUACUACAGUCACUGUGCCAGGAUUUUCUUGUUUCAACAUAUAAAAAUAUGAGAGUAGUAGUUGAAAUGACUCCUCCGGUGGACCAAAAACAAGCCUCUCCGCAUACUCCUUCGCUUGCUAAGCCUUACCAUACAAGCAUUCCAAUCCCCACUGAACCCUCAUCUCACAAAUUAUGUCCUUAGGUCUCAAUGCUACUCCAUUAGCUCGAAGCUUGUGUGACAUAAGUUCACCAAUCAUCUUUGCACUCGUAGUUGAAAACCGCCCUUGCAAACCAUCAACGGUACAGGUGUGUACUUUGUGGAAUGUCCGAACUUGCCAAUAUUCUCCUAUAUCAGGUAACUUCGUUGCACGCACACUGAACUUGCAUGCCUUGUCCUUGCAACCAACCUCAUAACGAGCUUUACAUGACAUUUUUACUCUUAUCGCAAACUUCUCUUUUAUAACCAACAUGUUCAAAGCUCGUUUCAACUCAGCCUUUGAUGAAAACAUUUUUCCUUUGUAUAAGCGAUCUUCAGCACAUGUCGACUCCUUAGUGGUAAUUGUUUGGAAGGAGAACCUUUCUGCACCUGCAAUUACCCACGUACAAGAUAUCCCUGUAUUUUCCCUUUCUUGAUCACUGUCAUCGAGCAAUGCAUUAAGGGAACAAAUCCCGUUCUCACCAGUGAUGGGGUUAUUGUAUAUGGGGUCAUCACGCUAAACAUCUAGGACAUCAACACCUCCAACAGGUUCCGUUUUGCCUUCAACAUUAUUACGAAUUGGAAUGUCACUGUCACAAAGGCAGUCAUCGUCUGAAUUGUCAUCUUGCCAUUGUUCAAGCCCAUCAUUUGAAGUGUCAUCAAAUCUAUCUUCACCAGCAGUGAACAAAUCCUCAUUUCCCUCAUCAAAUGCAGUAUUAUCCUCUAGUGUCGUAGUGUCACCCUCCAACCUCACAUUGUUGUCCUUAAGUGUCGUAUUCUCAUUUAACAAUGGCAUUAUGCACUCUACAGUUUCACUUGAUCGUUGCAUUUGUUAGAGAAAAACAAGAAAUUGGUUUGAUGCACAUCCUGAUCGAAAUUGUGUAGCCAACUAUUCUGUGAAUGUCGUUUGUCUACCGGGCUGCAAAAGCUCUUGUGCAUACCUCAAUUGCCAUUGUUAUGGGUUCCGAAUCGAAUGCUGUGGUAUAUGUGAAGCAUUUUAAAUCUCAUUUUGAUUGAUCUGAUUACCAUGUUGUCCAACUUCUUCAUGUGACAUAACAUUUGUUCGGCGUCCCUUAAUGCUGACAUACACAGUCGAAACAUUCCUCUGUUCUAGCAGAAUUAAUGCAACAUCCUCAUCGUCCUUAAUAAUUGGCCGUGAUAGCUCUCCAGGCAUAUUGAUCAAUGCAUGUAACUCAAUCUUGUCAAUUUCUGAGUUUACCCCAAUAAAAUCUUCAACCAGCUUCAUCAAGCCCGCAAACGACAAAUCACUCCUAACCUCCCGCAUUCGUGACUCACCACCCUUGUAAAUGCCAUCCACCCACUGACCACCAUGUCUUAUCACAAGUCGCACAAUUGGAACCCCACUGAAAUUUUGAAAAAAAAAUAUUGUUAAUCAUUUUACACAAUACACGUCGUGAUAAAAAAUUUAUCAGUCGUGUUGUUACACGCCAUGCAUAUAACGUAAAAUAUUGUAACACAUCAUGCAUAUCAAAUCAAAUGUCGUGACACGUCAUGCAUCACUAUCGUGACAUGCCAAUCACAGUAAUUACUGACUCGUUACACCAACAACCAUGACACUGUAAAAACCCAAAAAACCAGUUUAUCCACAACACGCCAGGAACAACCGUGACACACCCAAAACCCAAAAAACCAGUUAACCCACGACACGCCAGGAAUAGCUGUGACAUGCCAAAAACCCAUAAAUUCAGUUGUCAUGCCAAGAACAAUUGUGACACGCAAAAAAUCCAUAAAUUCAGUUAACCCACGACACGCCAGGAACAACCGUGACAUGUUAAAAACCCAUAAAUUCAAUUAACCCACGACACGCCAGGAACAGCCGUGACACGCUAACAACCAAAAAAACUAGUUAACCCACAACACGCUAGGAAUAACCGUGACACGCUAAAAUAACGCUAACACAUGUUAUAGAUGCAUGGCGUGUAACAACUCUGGGCAAUGUUUCUAAUCUAACUUCUAAUUUACACCAAAUGUUUCAGAAAUUUAAGUGUGUUGCAAAAAUAAACCCAAUAACAGGUACCUUGAUGUCAUCUCUGCUAUAGGGUCCGUUAAUCUACGAUAAUGUGGCCAGAUGCCUAGAGAUAGACCAUAGCCGAUGACGAUGGUGCUCAAUAGAGAGUUCACAGAGCUUAUACAGUUCAGAGAUCUAAGAGAGUUGACGACGAUGGUGCUCAACAGAGACUUGCCAGAGUUGAGACAGUUCAAAGAGUUGAGAGAGAAAGAUGACCGAGCCUAAACAGCUGCGCGCAUUUAUUUUUAUUUUUUUCUAUUUUCUCUUUGGCAUGAGGCAUAUAGCUCAAACAAAUGAGCAUUUAUUUGAAACGAUGUUUUUAAGGGUAUUUUGGUCUACUCAUGCUUAUUUUUUGCUAGAAACAGAUAAUUUUAUAUGGAUAGUUAUUUCUAAAAUCACCUUAUCACAAGGUCCUUUUCUUACAAUUUUCUCUUUUUUUUUUUGCUAUCAUUUCUUGUCUUCUUUUUGCCUCAAAUGUUUUUUUUUUAAGUUCUCAUUAAUUAAGAAGAUACAGAUUACUACUUCCAAAAAAAAAAAAGAAGAUAAAGAUUACAAAUGGGACAUAGACAUCAUUGCUAUCAAAGCUUUUGAAUGAUUGAUAAAUGUCUUUUAGAUUUUUGUCAUUUUGCAAUCAUUUUUACCUUGGGAUCCAUUUAUUUCUGACUUUCUUGCUUGGUAGGUUUAAUGGCUUUCAUGGAAAAAUACUUGCCCUAUUUUUUUUUUUUUGGAUUAAAUUCUGUGUUUUAAGGGAUUGAAGCUUUACACUUCGUUUAACACAAGGAAAAAUGGCGAAAUACAUCAAACGAUUCAUAUAGUGCAAGGAUCAUGUUUUGCUUGAAGAGAAGUAGAAGGUCAAGGCACAUCUCUACUUUUUGAGCUAUCAUUUACAGAUCCUUAGGAACGUUUCCUCCAUGGCUGGUGAUCUAACACAAGAAAGAAGAUCAUCUAAGCCUAAAUUGUUCUAAUCAAAGCUAUUUCGAUUCAUUGAUCCCUCGAUUAUUGUUCUUUAUUUUUUUCAUUUUUCAAUCAAUUUUAUCUUGAGUUGAUGGCUUCCAAUUAUGUUGCCCCUUUUCGUAAUUUUCUGAACUACUUUGUUGGUUUAAUGGAUUUCAUGUAAAAACACUUGCACUAUUUAUUUCAAUUUUGGGUUUAACUUUUGUGAUCAAAUUAUGCCCCCAAUGGAUGUAAAAUUUAAUGAAAAAAUAAAUAAAUAAGGUUCAAGAUUCAAUUUCAUGUAUUGAAAGAAGUACAAAUAAAAAUAUAUAUAUUGAAAGAUGUAACUAAUUUAGAUUAUUUAAGGUGAAUAUUCUGGUUCGGCCAAAGAAAAAAAAGGCCUUAUUCUGUAAAUGUUUUAUAGUAGUUGUCUCUAAAUUUUCUAUUGUUCUUUGUAAGGGACUACAAUUAUUUGAUAGUUCUAUGAAUCUAGAUUUGUCAUAUAAAUUAAGGCAGAAUUCCCCCUACCCCUUAAAUUAAAUCCCUCAGCCAAAAGAAAAAAAAUCCAAAAGUUAAACUCUACAAAAUCUAUUUGUCAUUGGAAAAAAAGGAAAGCCCAAGAAAUGAUUUCUUGGGCUGGAAAUGGCUUUAUUUACGUGGAUGAAUAAAACACAACCCUUUCAACGUUCAUAUUCAAACGUUGUACAAUUAAUGGAAUACGUAUUUUGUUUAAAUAAAAAAAAGAAGAUUAAAAGAAAGGAAGGCAGAUACACCAAUUUGGAUUUGAAUGAUUUAUAAUUAUGAUGAUUUUCAUAUUCAUAUUCACUUUUGUUAAUAAAAAAGUUUUUGAAAAAGAAUUUUUAUAGACAGUUGAAAUUUGGUGUUAAUAAGCAUAGGAAAAAUAAAAAAAAUAAGUAAUUAAAUAGACUUGAUUUUUUAUCAUCUCGGUCCAUCUCAUUAUCUUUGUUCUUUAUUGAUUUUUUUAUUAAAUAAACUCGACUUUGAUCAUUAUUUUUAAUCACAUCAUAAAGUUAUAAAAUUUUUGAAAAUAAGAUUUGUAAAUUUUGAAUUUUAAACUUUCAAAAUAUAUUUUUUGAAUUUUGAAUUAUAUAUAAUAUUUUAAAAAUAAUGAUAAAAAUUGAGUUCAUUAAUUUGACGAAAAAAAUCAAACAGAUAUAAAUAAAACGAGAUGGGGAUAGCAUGUAUUUGUAAUAAAAUUAGGCUCCCGUUGAUGAGUACUUUUACUUCCUUUUCCUUUUUCUAUUGCAAAAAAUGAAUAAAAAGGAAAAGGCAAAAUAAAUAUAUAAAAAAAGAUAAAAGUAUUAAACUGGCACGGAAUCUAAGUGCAUGUAGAAAUAAUCGAAUCCCUUCUUAUAAUUCUUAUUAUAAGCAUUACCUGGUAAAAUUUUCUUCCAUCAAUGAGAAAUUACUUCAUUUUAAAUGCUUUAUGUGAACUUGCUGCCAAGCUAUGCUACCAUGGCCAGAUCUUAUAGGUUGAAGUAACAAUCAAACUCUCAAUAUGUCAAUAAAUCACUUGGAACCUUCAUAAUAAAAGUGUACUUGGCUUGUAUAGGAAAAUUAAAGUUUUAUUUCCCAGGUCUUGAUUUAAAAAUCAAAAAUAAAAACAAGAAAUAGAAGAAUUUCAGGCUUGUUCUUUUACUUAUUGUACAUACAAACAGCAACAUAACAUUGAUUGAGUAAAUUAUUGAAAGCAAGUGAUCCCUUCCCUUGACAAGUCCAUGAAGCCAACAUCUUGACCAACGAUAAGCACAAUAAUUUCAACUACCCGUUUUUCUUUUUUUUUAUAUAUAUAUAUAAAUAAUAAAGGUUAGCACAAAUGAACCACCAAAACUUGAUUAGGACUAGGCAAACAAGUGAAAGAAAUGAAAAUGGAAAGUAGCCUUUGUUUUACCUGUGUUUAGUUGACGGCCCCAAAAUACUCCUUGAUAUUUAAACAUGCCUUUGGAACUUCUCCUACAAUCAUCUCAUAGUUCUUCCUUGUAAGGUGGUAGAUGAUCACCCGGACGCUGCCGGCGCCAAUCUAUGGUCUUGGUGUGGACUACAUUCUGAUCAGUGACAGAUUCUUCGGUGGUAUCUUGCUCAACCAGUUGCGGUGUCUUUUUAAUAAUUGAAACAGUAAAAUGUCAAACAAAAGUAUUAAUGUUACAUGUUAUAAGGGUAAAAGAAAAACUAGACAUUAUAAUUUAUAAGCAUUUUAAGUCAAAAAUUUAUUAAAGGUGACGGAAAGUGAUAUUCUAGACCAACAAUCAUUUAAGUAAUUUUUUUUAAAGUAUUUUAAGUAAUUUAAGUAAAGACUUUGAAGAUUAUGUCUUAUAAUAUUAUUAAAGACUUGAAUUGCCUUUGCACACACCAAAUAAAAGCUUCUAUUUAAUGCAGUAAUCAAUAGUAAAAGCUCUUAAUCAUCAUUAACAAUUAUGUUGGGAGGAUUUGGAGAAUGAAGAAGGUAUUUACAGUUUUUGUGAAUAAUAUUCUUGCAAGAGUCCAUUAUUGAAGAUGGCUUCAAAGGAUUUCUUAUCAAUUUGGAAAGGUUGUCAAUACAUUUAUAGGGAGAAAUAAAAGCAAAUAUGGUAAGAGGCAUCCAUUUAUCAUAUUUGGAUCUUUUAAUAAAGCUAGAAGAGCAGGCCAAAAUUUAAAUGGAGCCUGACUUCUUAACCAAAGGCUAGAGGAACCAAAAAGGAAGCUUCUUAUGGACCUAGUACUAACGACAAUGGGAAAGAAACCUGCAGUGGGAUUUUGAGACAAAACUCGACCUUAUUCACUAAGCCAUCUUAUGCUCUGGUAUUGAAGGGUGCUUUUGAAAGUGGUGGAGCUUCAAAUGAAGAGAGAGGAGAUGAUCUUCAAUGUCCUAAAAAGCAUGGAAAACAUGCUUUGUUUGAAGAGAAGUGUUGUGGUAACAACAUAAUGUAAUUCAGAUUCAGCAAAUUUAAUGGCAUUAUUUAAAAUGCAAGGCAUUUCAGGGCUGCUUGAGGAGUUUGUCUAACAAAGAAUUUCUGCUAAACUUUAAGGAUAAGGAGCUGUUUGAAGAGUUCAAAGAUAAAGGUUGGGAUUGGCUUAACAAAUGGUUUACUAAGGUGGAAACAUGGUUAGAGAAUUUUUCAUCAAAACUCCUUAGCAAGUGGUUUAUUGUACAGGGCAUCCUUUAGAUGUGUGAAAUAGGCAUAUUGUAAUUUAUAAGCAUUUUAGGCCAAAUUCAUUAAAAGUGAUAUUCUAGACUAAGUUUUGGUUGUAGUGUCACACACAAUCAUUUAAGUAAGUUAAGUAAAGACUUUGAGGAUUAUGCCUUAAAAUAAAAAAGAUUAAAGUUUUUAGGGUGUAUACCUCUAUUUUGGCGUGCACAUAUUCCUCUGAAUCUAUGAAGAAGCCUGUAGUCAUCUUGGGACAUUCUCUUACUUUCAAAGAAAUCAAAGCCGAUAAUACAAAGUGAUAUCCUCUCGGGCAGAAGUCAAUGAGGCUUGGCAGUUCUUUAAGUGAUAAAUAUUUUAAUUGAUCAAACUUUAUUUCUUUUUCAGUUAUCACUUCUACUUCAUCUUCAAGUUCAAACAGUUGCUCCAAUUUAGAGUUCCCUUUAACUGUUAACUUUUCAAGUUUUGGAAGACAACAAGCAGAUCCAAGGGGAAAGAGACAUCUUAGCCUCUUGCAAUCAAUCACCUUUAGAAUUGUAAGGUUUUUGAGAGUAACAACUUGAGUGACAUCCUUCCAUAUAAUACACACUUCAGAUAAAUCCAACAGGUAGAGUUCCCUUAUAUGCCCAUGAACAUGGAAUACCUCUUCAUGACUCCCAACUGCUAUGUAGUCUUGACUGCAAUUGGCAGAAACACGCAAUUGACAACUAUUUCCCAACUUAGACAGAAGUAAUUCCUGCAAAUAUAGACACCACUAAAUGUCACAAGUACAUUCAUUUUCUAUUAGAAUGGGAAUAGUUGAGCAAAUGCUACUAAUAAUUUUUCAUAAUUUUAUAUGCCACUUCACAAAAAAUCCUUACAAUUUUAACGGCAGCACAUAUAUAUGUUUCAAAAUUUAAAUCCAAAAGUUUCAUGAAAUUGUUUGAAAGUAGAAUCCAAAGACACCUAACCCUUUCAAGUUUUUCUCUGUUAAUUUUGAACUUAAAACCAUUUAUGGUUUUCCUUUUCGUUUGUAUUUUUCUUUGUCAUUUUGUCUUGAACAAUGUUGAUUUGAAAAGUAAACACAAAGUGAUAAAGUGUCAAUUUGUUUUUGUAAUUUUCCUUAAUUAUAUAUAACAACACAAAAGAAAUCCACCCCCCCCGCCCCCCCAAACGGAAAGCCUAAAUCUCUCAAUCUCUUUCUCUUGUCUGAAACUUGAAUUGAAGAAAGUAGAAACACCUUCAAUAAAAAAAAAAGGAACUCAUGGCCAAGAAGAAAAAGAAAACUUAAAUUGCAGAAGAAAGAGAAAAUGGAAUCGAAGAAGGAAAAGGAAGCUCGAACAAGAAAAAAGGAAUUGCUAGGAUGUCAUCGUGAAAAAAAUAUAUGAUGAAUUUGAAGUCAGAAACAAGGACAAGGAAAACCCAAAGAUCCCCAGGUUACCCACAAAUAAUAUUUAUUUUUCAAAAUAGAUAGUAUAAAAUUUUUGAAUUGUAACUUUAAAAUGUAGUUGGAUUAGUUUAUGAGUGUUGAAAAGAUUUGGUUCAAAGGUAAAAUCUAAAACUAUAAUUGAAGGAAAAGUGUAUAAAAGAUACCUUUAGUAGAACCUGCUCGUUAACUUCUUUUUGAAUUGUGAAAUUUGUCAAUUUAGGACAGUUCCAAACACCCAACUUCUCCAAGGAUGGUGAUGAGAUGAGAAAGUUUUCCGAGCAAAAGCAACUCAAAUUUAUCAAGUUUACAAGUAGUAAAUCUUGUAGGGAAGGGAGUGCAAUGGCACAAUCAACUCCAUUCUUUUCUUUUGCCACAUGGAAGACUUGUUGUAACUGAGGAGAAUUGCUUAUCCAAAAUGAUUUCAAUCGUGGAAGAACUUGAGCCAAAGGAAUUUGAAAAAUAUUUUCCAAUAUUGGACAAUGACUUAUUCGUAGAGUUUCCAAUUUUGGCAAAAACGACGAAUGGAGAUGGGUAUUUGUUUCUAUUUCAUCAUCACAGUCCAACUCGGUGAUAAUGUGUUGCAAUCCAUCACAAUGAUCUAUCUGGAGUUGUUCAAGGAGCACCAAGCUUUGAGCAAGGGAUGGUGAAAAGAGAUGUUUCAAUCUAUUGCAGUAACUAAUUUCGACAAACUUCAAGCUUUGGAGGCUGACAAAACAGGUGGACCCUUUCCAUAUCCACUUCAAUUCUGGUAAUAAUUUUAGCUCCAUCAGUGUUAAAUUUGACAACAGCGAUCCUUGAUUUUCUUUCGUAUCAUGAAGAAACUCAUCUAUUUGAAAUACUUCUUGCAACUGGCCACAGUUAAUAACUUUCACUUCCUCUAGAUUUUGUAGCGCGGGAGAUAAAAAAGCCAUUUCCAUGCAAUUCCUUGCUUCCAACGUCUUUAGUUUUUGUAGAAACCCUUUUGGAAACCCACCGUUGCACAACAUUUUCAAACCAGUCAUUUGUUCUAUGAAUAAUUCCACCAAAUUAGAGAAGGCAUUGGAUGAGACAUGGCCUUGUGUUGUAUCAAUCAAGCAUUCCAGCUCCUCACCAUCUUUAAGUGUAAGAAAAGUUAAUUCAUUAAGCCCCUUUGGAUCUACAUUUGGAAUAAGAUUUUUCUGAUUCUUGACUCCAUCCAAGGUAAGAUUUUUGACAUUGUGUAAUAACUCCUUCAAUGCAUGCAAUUGAUCACUCUGAUAAAUUCACAACAAAAUGAAUAUUAGACAAAUAGAAAAUAGCAUAAAAUUUAAAAAUUGACACAAAAGAAAACUGUUUUAUCUUUUCAUUGAAAGCUCAUUAAAGUUGAAAAACACACCAAAGCUUGGAGUAUAAGUAAUAGUGUACAUGCUGAAAUUUAUUGGAUACAUGGAAAUAUGAUUUAGCAAUAAAGUACACGUGGCGUGCAUGCAAGGAAGGAAAAAAAAUAAAAAUUUUUAUUGCCACAUGCUUGUUUGCUUUUUGUUCAUUAAAUGCAUUAAAUUUUUUAUUUUAUCAUGCCACGUAUCUGCUAUUGCCACGUCAUAGUUUAACAUGUCCUAUAAAUGCUAGCGUGGCUAGGAGUUAAAAAUCCAUGGAUUCUAUCCUAAUAAGGAUGCUUGGACAAUGACAAAGAACACUUUAAGAGCUUAAUGAGAUGCAAUUAUAUGCUAAAUUAUCAUGCAGCACUCUCAAUCUUAUAAUAUGAAUGAAUUCUUUUUUUUUUUUAAUGACAAGUACGCUAAGUAAUUAAUGAAGGAAUUGGAGACAAAGUUGCUGAUGAUGAGAGUUUGAAUUUUUCUAAGGAUACAAGUGUGACUUAUCCUAAUUUUUAUAAAAUAAUGCUUUGUAAAAACCUUUCUUGAAUAAGAGUUUUCAUCUUUUUCCUAUUUUGUUAUUCAAAUCCUUUUCCCAUUUCAAGAAAGAUUCAGAAUCAACUAGCUAAUUAUUGUACGAAUGUGCUGUUCUUUCUUUUUAAUUCAUGAGUAUUGACUUUUAAUAUCCGUCAAAAUAAAGAGUAUAAUUUUUGAACAACAAGGAAAAGUGUAUAAAAGAAAUACCUCUACUUGAAUUUUCUCGUUAACUUCUUUUUGAAUGUUGAAAUUUGCCAAUUUAGGACAGUUCCAAACUUCCAACUUCUCCAAAGAUGGUGAUGAGAUGAGAAAGUUUUCUGAGGAAAAGCAACUCAAAUUUAUCAAGUUUACAAGUAGUAAAUCUUGUAGGCAAGGGAGUGCGAUGGCACAAUCAACUCCAUUCUUUUCUUUUGCCCCAUGGAAGACUUGUUGUAACUGAGGAGAAUCGGUUAUCCAAAAUGAUUUCAAUCGCGGAAGAACUUGAGCCAAAGGAAUUUGAAAAAUAUUUUCUAAUAUUGGACAAUGACUUAUUCUUAGAGUUUCCAAUUUUGGCAAGAACGAAAAAUGGAGAUGGGCAUUUGUUUCUAUUCCAUCAUCAUAGACCAACUCGGUGAUAAUGUGUUGCAGUCCAUCACAGUGAUCUAUCUUGAGUUGUUGUAGCAGUACCAAGCUUUGAGCAAGGGAUGGUGAGAAGAGAUGUUUCAAUCUAUUGCAGCAACUAAUUUCUACAAACUUCAAGCUUUGGAGGCUGACAAAACGGGUGGACCCUUUCCAUACCCAAUUCAAUUCUGGUAAUGAGUUUAGCUCCAUAAGUGUUAAAUUUGACAACAGCAGUCCUUGAUUUUCUUUCGUAUCAUGAAGAAACUCAUCUAUUUGAAAUACUUCUUGCAACUGGCUACAAUUAAUAACUUUCACUUCUUUUAGAUUUUGCAGCGCAGGAGAUAAAGAGACCAUUUCCAUGCAAUUCCUUGUUGUCAACUUCUCUAGUUUUUGUAGAAAGCCCUUUGGAAACUGACCGUUGCACAACAUUUUCAAACCAUUCAUUUCUUCUAUUACUAAUUCCACCAAAUUGAAGAAUGUAUUGGUUGAGACAUGGCCUUGUGUUGUAUCAAUCAAGCAUUCGAGCUCCUCGCCACCUUUAAGUGCAAGAAAAUUUAAUUCAUUAAGUCCCUUUUGAUCUACAUUUGGAACGAGAUUUUUUUGAUACAUGACUCCAUUCAAGGUAAGAUAUUUGACAUUCUGUAAUAACUCCUUCACUGCUUGCAAUGGAACGUCCUGAUAAAUUCACAACAAAAUGAAAGAUAUUAGAAAAAUAGAAAGGUAGAUAAUACUCCUUAAAUCAGAAUUGAUUUUUUUUUUCUAUGCAUAAAAUUUAAAAAUUGAGACAAAAGAAAACUGUUUUAUCUUUUCAUUUAAAGCUCAUUAAAGUUGAAAAACAUACCAAAGCUUGGAGUAUAAAUAGUGUAUAGUAUUCUUUUAUGUACAUAUUAAUGUACUAAAAGAAAGAUGUUUUUCUAUGAUCAGAUAAAUAAUCAAUUAAUAAUUAUCAAAAGUAAAAUUGAAACAAACGAAAAUAUAACAGAACUACCAUCAAUAGAGACCGCGACCAAAGUCCUUCGUGAAUAUGGAAACGAGUCAUUGAUCCGCGUGGGAGACCAAUACUGCAAGCUUGGAAUCCCUUCAAAGAUGGCAACAUGACAAAAUAGUUUCUGGGACAAAAGUUCCUGAAGUUUAGUAAGUAUUCAAGUCUUAAAGACUGUAAGCGAGGGAGCAGAAUAUCGUGCCCAUACUCUUCUUUUGCCAUGUUGAAGACAUGCAUUAGUUGAGGGCAAUCAAUUAUCUGAACUGAUUCCAAGUGCGGAAGUCCUUGAGCCAAAGUGAUGGGAAACACAUAUCUCAAGCUUUCGCAACUAGCUAUCACAAGAGAUUUUAAUUUUGGCCAGCACAGAAGAGAGCGAUCCUUGUUUGAAAUUAUCUCAUCACCAUUUUCUGCUUCGGUGAUUAAAUGUUCCAAAGAGUUGCUUCCCUUUAUCCAGAGUUCUUCCAGAUGCACCAAAGUUUGAGCAAGUGUAGCUAAAAAGAGAUACUCCAGUUUAGAACACGAGCAAAUUCUCAUAGUUUUAAGAUUCUGGAGGUUAACAAGAUGGGUGGGUUCUCUCCAUAUGCACCUCAAUUCUGGUAAGGACUCCAGCUCCAAACAAAUUAAAUUUGAGAGUGGGGGUGCCUGAUUUUCCUCACAUAAAACAUAUAUUAUCAAUAAAUAAUUAUUUAAAUAUGAAUUCGUUGUACUUGUUCAAAAAAGUACUUAAAUAUUAAAGGCAUACAUUUUAAAAAAUUUUAAAACGAAGUGUAAAAAGCCACAAUUUAGAAAGAUUACAACUGAUGUUUACUUAUAUAUUUGGUAAUUUAACAUAAAAAAACACAAUUAGAUAAAGAACAAAUAAUAGAAUUAUUAAAGGAAAAAUGGAGAGAUGAGGGGUACCUCCAACUCAGCCAUAUCUUGGGCAAAAGCAAAGACUUGCUCUAAUUUCUUGCAUGCAGAUAUCUUGAGUUGUUCAAGAUGCAACAAACUUUGAGCAAGGCAAGGUGAGAAGAUUGAUUUUAGUUUAUCACAACCAUCAACUUUUACAUCCUUCAGAUUUUGUAGGCUUACAAGAUGAGUUGGCUCUUUCCAUAUACUCUCUAAUGCUGGUAAUGACUGCAGCUCCAAGCUUCUUAAAUUUGAGAUCGACCACAUACAACCAUUCAUUUGAAACACUGAUUGCAACUGUCCACAAUCGCAAAUGAUCAAUGUUUCUAAGUGUUGUAAGAAGCUAUUCGGUAAUUGACCAUGGCAUAACUCUUUCAAAGAAGUCAUUUUACCAAUGUCUAAGUUCACCAAAUUAGAGAAUGCAGUGGCUGGACUCUGUUCUCGUGUUGUAUCGAUCAAGCAUUCCAAAUCAUCGCAAGAUGUAAGCUGAAGAGAAGUUAAUUCAUUUAGUCCCCACUGAUCUACAUUUGGAACAACAGUUUUGUGUUCCAUGAUAUUCUCCAGACUCAGCCUUUCCACAUUGCGAAACAGCUCCUUAAAUGCAUUUAAUGAGGAGGAAUCUCUAAUUCUCAAUAUUCUCGAGAUAAGCUUUCUCGGAAUUUCAAUGUAUCCAUUUACACCUAUAUUGUAGCUUUGUAGUUUAGGAAACACAAAGUUUUCUUGAAAACAUUGAUCAGUAGAAACUGUCAAUGUUAAUGCAGUCAAACGAGACAACGAAUUCAACUCCGAUAAGUUGGCAAUGGUAAAACUUAACAUGUGUAGCUCUUGGAGUGACGUUAACCUGUUACACACAAAUACACAAUAUUAUUAACACAAUAACAGCACUUUCAAGCAGACAAUGAAAUAGCUACUAUUAAACUACAGCUUGCAAUGUUUCAUAAUAAUCGGAGUGACUAAAAGCUCAUGAUAUAUAUACAUAUAUAUAUAUAUAUAUAUGUAUAUAGUAGUCAAAUUGAAAACAACAAAAGGAAAAAUAAAAUAACAUAAAAUUAAAUUUUUUUUUUACUCAGCCAAGAAAAAAAAGAGAUUUAUAUAUAGACAGCUUAAAUGUACAAAAUAAGAAGAAACAAGAACAACCGCUCAAAGCAAAAAACUUAAAAAGAAGCAACUUGAUAGCUUGGCUGGAGGCAAAAUCAACACUUCAUAUGAGAUGACAUGUUACGGGAUUGGUGUCAGUACACAAGAGACCAACAUAUCAAACAGUCUCAUAAAAAUCGACCAAGGCAAAGAUGAAUAUAUUGGCACAAUCAGAUUGCCAGCGGGAAACAAUAAAAUUAAAUACUUAAGUAAAAACAAUUAGAUAAUCAGUUUUAAUGACAUCUAAGUAUUACCUUGAUAUCAAGUUAGGGGGGACAUGUCUGUCUUCAUCUCCAACCCAAAAAAUAUAUAGUGACUUUAGUCUGCGCAACUCCACUAAUUCUUCAGGUAAUUCAUCAAUAUAAGUUCUAAUCAAAGACAAAGACUCAAGAUUUUCUAGAUUUCUCAACGAUGAAAUGUUCUCAACGUCACACCUCAUAAUGCACAGAGUUCGCAGAUUUGUUAGGAAUUGAAGUGCUUCCAUUGAGAAUACAACACGUUGAAGAAAUAAAACUCGGAGGGUUUUCAUUCCUUCAAAAAAUUUACUCGGAACUCUUAGGUAAUCUUCUCCCGUUAAAAACAAAGUCUUGAGUUUUGAAAAUUCUAAUUUAUCGGGAAAAUUAACUAUCUUAAUAUUCCAUAAGGAGAUUGUUGUGUAACAACCAAAAAUUUCACUCUUAGGCCAUUCCGUCAGCUCAUUUUUUACCAUGAACAUAUUUUCCCCUCUUGAUGUUAUCCAAUGAGCAAAAUCACGAACCACAUCAUGCAUUUUUACAUAGAAUUCAUCGUCAGUUUCCAAUAACAAACCAAACUUUUGGAGCUUUGAUAGUGCUAGAUGAAUUUCCCUCCUUAUUUCUUCAAUUAAGUUAAUAUGACAAAACAGUCCCUGACCAAUUCCGAAUUCAGUCAACAACUCAACAUUAAUAUCAUAAUCUUCUGGAAAAAGAGAACACAACAAGAAACAUGACUGAAUAUUUUCUUCCUUCAAAUAAUCAUAACUAAGCUUAAGGCAGCUAUAGAUACCUCCACAAACAUCUUGAUUAUCCAAAUGUCUUGACUCCUUAAGUCGUUGAUUUGCUGCUAUCCACCCAUUUAGACUUUCACGUUUUAGAGCUUUCGCCAUAGUUACAAUUGCAAGAGGCAAACCCUUAGCUUCACGAGCAACCUCCUUGGCUACAUCAUUCAAGGUGGGAGAGGCAUCUUUUAGACCAGCAUUAUCUUUGAAUAAAGCCCAUGCCUCAUCUUCAGACAGAAUGUUCAGUUUAAAUUCUUCUUGACAAUUCAUUUGACUACAGACUUGUCGAAGACGUGUAGUUAGAAGAAUUUUGCAACCAGGGUGUUUGUCACCAGAUGGAAUUCCUAUAUUUCGCAAUUCAAACUGUUCCCAAACAUCAUCGAGAAUAAUGAGAAUCUUCUUCUCGCCUUUUAAUCUCUUGAAUAACUCUUCUGCUUUUCCUUCUUCUGUACUUGCAUUAAAUUUUAAACCCAAGAUUUCAGAAAUUCUAUGUUGAAUUUUGUUGAUGUCUGGAUUUUGAGACACCCCCCUAACAAUCACAACUUUAUCAAAGAGCUUUUCUUCCGUAGCUUGCUUCCCCACUACUUCCGCCAAAGUUGUUUUACCCACUCCUGGCAUUCCGUGCAAUCCAAUCACGUUCACACCAUCACCUUUUAAAGCCUUCAUGAUCCCAUUGAAAGCUAACGUUGAAGAUUCGGAACGCAUGAAAUCCUUGGGUAGUAGGAACUCUAUUCCUUGAAGAGGAGGGCGCUGGCCGACUAGUGGAAAGUUACAGGUCUCUAAAAGUUUAGAGAUACAAAGAUUCUUCUUCGCGACUUUCUUACUUAAGCAAUAUCGCCAACCCCAACUAGGACACCAAUUGAAACACUUGUUACGCUCUAUUUCUUCUUCCAAACUCUGAGCUUCUCCCAAUUCUUUAUCUGCCUUUGUUAGCCACUCCUCAACGCCCUUCUUAAUUACCUCAGUUUGCCUUAAAGCCUCAUCGACAGCAUCUUUCAACUCAUCUCUUUUUGAUUCAAGUUCAUUUCGCCGGUUCUUGAAAUCUUCAACAAUUUCGCCAAAACGGAAAAAGUAACGGAGAUAAGGUGAUGCGUAUUCUGUUGCUAAGUUCCCCGCGGUACCGCUAAUAGCAGCGCAAACACAUUCAAGAAACAUUCUUUGAUGAUCUGAGGCUGAAAAACAAUUUGGAUGAGUAAAAUGUUUUACAGAGAGACAAAAAGUAAUUACGAAAUGUUCACAAAAUAUCUCGCCUUUGCAGCAAUACUUUUAUAAAAUAUGUGAAUCACAAGAGAACAAAUUGUCCGCCGACUAACUUGGAAAUUGAAAAUGCUGCACAAGUAGAAAUUAUUCACUGGUCAUGUGUAUAGUAAUUAGAAAUAUAUCUUACAUGUUAGAGUAAAAUCAUAGUAUUAUGAUUCUAUAAAAUACUUUCUCAAAAUUUAAAAUAUCUAUUUAUUUCAGUUUUUUCCUAAUAGCUACAGCUUUUGUGUAACCAUGCAUGCUCGUCAUGGGCAAGGAAAGAAGUAAAGUGCAAAAUUAUUAUUUUUAUUUUCCAAGUGAAGAACUCAAGAAGUCAAAUGCAUAAGUGACAAGAGAAAUAAAAAGCAUAGCAAAAAUUAUAUAUGGACAAUAUAAUAUGUAUUGUUGAAGCUUACCUCACUUCGAAAGGAUCUUCUAACGCUGCAUGGAUUUUUUCUUCACCAACUCCGGAGAUCGGGAAAGUAAAAUUAAGGACUUCUUUUCUGGAUAGAAAGCAGAGAAAUCCAAAUACUAGAGGUAGCAGCUUUGGGUUUUUUUUUUUUUUUUGGCCUUUGUGGAGCUGAGGAAAGGAAACGUAGGGAUCAAAGAACAGUUUUUGUUUUUUAUUUUUCUGAGUUAAAAGAAAAUGAGGAAAGUAGAAACCAAUGGAAAAAACGAACAGAGAUUUUUUUUUUUUUUGAGUUGAAAGAAAAUGAGGAAAGCAGAAACCAAUGACAAUAAACCAACAGAGAUGCUUUUCUGUUUUUGAGUUGAAAAAUUGAGUGGAAAAAUCAAGGAAAAUGAAAUGGAAAAUUAAGGCAGAAAUCAAACAAAAUCUUUGGGAUAGUGCAGCUCACAGAUGUGGAGAUGGUAGAAGAAGAAGCUUGAAUGGAAACUCUAUGAAGACGAAGUAGUGAGAGUAGGUAUAGGAACUUUGGAACACUAAUAUUCAAAUUAGGAACAACGGAAAAAAAUUAGCAACUUGGCUUACACUUCCCAUGUAAGAUUCUCUUUUCUUUGAUAUGCGAGAGCUAAUGCUAUACAUUGAGAAAGUUAAUUUGUUUUAUUUAUCGUUUUUCAGUUGGCUUUUCCAUAGUUUGUCCCCCUUUUGUUUUUUCUUCCCUGGUUGUGGGUGGUGCUCGAGACACAAAUGUUUAUUGCUCCCUCUAGCUAAAAGCUCUUUGGCCAGCAUGUGCAAUCAACAUUAUUAUAUAAUGUUUAUAGAUUUGAGGAUUUUUGUUUACCACUAGAGACAGUUGCAUGUGAACGAAUUAGAUAUUCUAUUCAAAUUUUAAUUGGGAAUCAGUAAAAUUUCAUUAAUAAAAAAAUUAUUUGGUGAUUAAGUUUAUUUAAAGGAUAAAUAUAGUUAAUGAUUAAGAGUUUUUAAUGGAUAGGAAUUCAUGGUGACAAAGUAAUAUGGUUUUAUAAAUAUGGAAUGUGUCUUAACUUUUAAAAUUAAGAUAGAGAUGAGAUCUUUAUAUGAUCUUAUGUAAAAGAUAAUUUUUUUUAAAUGGAGUUUUUUGUAAAAACUUCACAGAAUUAUAGAGAUGUGAGAAGGAGCACGAGAAAUACAAGAAAGAGUAGGGGAAACGCAGUUUGCAUGGGAUCGAAAGUAUUUUAUGAGUUGAAACAAUAGGGAGCACAGAAACUGGAUUUGUUUCGAAGCUUAAGUUUAGUAUUUGUUUUUAUUUGUACUUUUUGUAAUCUCUAUGCCUAUAAUGAAUUUUUCUGAAUGCAUAUUAAAUAUUAUCUCUUAUAUGUGCUUUAUAAAUUAAAUUUUCAUUUGUAAUUUAUUUACUUAACUUACAAAAUAUAUAGUAUAAAAAGGAGGGUUUUUCUUUCUAGUUUUUUAGUGAUAUAUUACCUUGGACUCCGCACCUGGUCUUUAAGCUCAUGUGGUUAAAGCUCAGCAGAGUAAUAAGAUUUGGUCAUUAUCUUGGGCUUUACGUUGACCCAACCAGAGCAAUCUACUCUCAUUUUAAGGAAAGGAAGUACUUAUUGUAAACCUUGAACUAGUGGGAGUAAUUGUUUAUAUACCUUUCUCUCUUCCAAAACGUUGGUCCUAUCCUUUUAUUUCGAAUUUUUUCAUUUUUUAGUUAAUUUUCUUUUAAAAAAUUAUAUUCUGUGGAGGGAGGACAUGAGCCCGUAGUGAAAAUGUAUUUGUAUUAUCAAAAUCAAAUAAAAACUAAAAGAAAUAUCAUCAAAAACAGGGGUCAAAGCCUUGUACCCUUUCUAUACUUUUAUCACUUCGCUUUUUCCGUUAUAUUUGGUCUUUGAGGUGAUGGCCUUGGAGUAGUAAUGUAUUCUUCCAACAAUUACUAGUCAUUUUACAAUAAUAGGAAAUUUUUUAGUAAAAUAUUUAUAUAAUAUAUUGCCCUGUUUAAAUUGUGUAGGCCUCAAUAAGUUAAAUUUUGAGCUGAUUAAAUUAUCGAAAAUUAUCCAAUAAACUGUCAUGGAGUUUGAAAACUUUAUCAAUGGAAUUAGGAGGUUGCAACAUAUUCAUUCGGAUAUAUUUGAAAAAAUAAAUAAAUUAAUCUGAUAAAUAAAAGGAUAUUAAUUUGACAAUAUUUUAAUUUUACUAACAAAGUUAAAAUCUCACCGAGGAUGCAUAGAUUAAUAGUCCUUAAAAUAAUCCCUUUGUUUUUACAAUUGAGGGACAUUGAUCGUUACAUGCAUUAGUAGUGGAGAUUUGUUGCCUUUUCCUUAAAAGAUCAUUACAUUUUUUGCUUAAUUGCAUGCUUGUGUUCGGCUUAUAUAUAUAGGCUUUCAUUAGUGCUUGUUGAAUUAUGGCAGUGAAGUGUUUAGUAGAGUUGAUAUGAAUGAAGUGACUAUCCAGAGAUAUUGCAUCGUAUCGUUUUCUGCUUAUUGGGUUCCAUUGCUUGGAGCAUUUCUGCAGUUUCUGCGUACUUAUUUGCUACAACUUGAAAGAAAUGAGCAUGGCAAGAUUGUAUACAAAUUUGCCUAUGACUUCAAAUUUAGUUCGGCUUGAUCAACAAAAGAGGAAAAUUUCAGUUGAGAUUUUAGCAUUUUGGUUACUGAAUGAGUGACUCUAGGAAGAUGGAUAACGUUCAUGCAUGCUUGCGAAGCUCGUUUGGUAAUAUAUAGCACAAAAAGCAUAGUGAACCCAACUUCGAAACACAUGGAUGCCAUCUAUUUUUCUAACAACAGCCGUGGCAAGCGUGAGCAUACCAAUUCUAAGUUCUAACAUUGGGUUUAGACCACUUUAUCAAAUUUCAAAGCCUUUCUUUAGUGCUUUUUUCCCCUGGAUUUCUUGGUAGAAUUAACUGGUGCCGUAAAAGAGGGCCAUGUUGGGGAUGGCAGGGGACGGAUUAGUGUAAUUUUUUUAUAUUUAUAAUUGAAACAAAUUAGAGGAAUGCAGAUUAGGGGACAGUAGAUUAUGGAAACGGUGGAAGACAUUUCAGCAGGUGGAUUCUUUAAAGGAGGUGAUAGGCAGUGUAUUAUUCUGUGAGUGCUGAUUUUUUGGCAAAGGAAGGUGCAAGGAGAGAAAGUUUUUAUUGGAUAUUGUCAUUACCUUGAGAUUUACAUUGAGCCAGUGGGAUUAAUUAUUAUUAUUAUUUUUUUGUUUUUAAGAAAAAGAACCACUUUUUGUAAACCGUGAACUAAUGGAGGCAAUUGGUUUUAUAUACAUAUUGCUCUUGCAAAACAUUGUAAUUUAGAAAUUUAGAAGUAGAGGUAUACGUUGAUCCCUUCAUUAAUUCGACAACUUCCAUAUAAAACAAAAGCUCAGCAGAUGAAGACGAAGCUAGCAGCUAGCUUGGAGGGAAGUGUGUAAGGCACUAAGCAGCUAGCAGUACAAUUCCUGGCCUCAGUCAUGGUUCACUUUUUGCCUAUGGAGACGCAAUCUCUUUUUAUAAUCAAUUUGUUUUCAUUUGACACUCUGUUUAAGAUGUAGUAGCUCAAUCUCAGCCAUAUACACGAAUAAAAUAAAACGACGGUAUUUACUUGGUUAAUUGGUUGUUAGCCAACUUGAUGGAAAUCUAGUAAUUAAAAGCCAAAGGAAAAUAUCAUCAAAAUCAGGGGCCAAAGCCUUUCGCCUUUUUUAUAGUUGAUGCUCCUUCCAGCUUUUACCACAUUGCUUUUUCCUUUACACUUGGUCUUUGAGGUGAUAGCCUUGGAAUAGUAAUGAGAACCACCCAAAACCAAUUAAAGUAGAUGAUAGAUGAAAGAAAGAAAUGAGAAUACUUGUUAAUUUGCUACUAAGUAGCAGCAGCUAGUCAAAUUCAGAUUUAUGCAUUAACAUAGUUUCACCUUCUUGUUAAAAUUUAUUCUGAUUCUUCUGAUGUAGCUUUAUUUACCCAGCAGCGAGCCUUCAAAAUCAAACAAAGUGGGACAUGAAGAACAAAAAUUAGCUUGGGACAAUCUUCAACCGAAGAAGUCAAAUUUGGAAAUACAAGAUGGUAACAUUAUAUAAUAAUUGAGGGAGCACUAUUUGCUUCUCUUUCUGGGUACUUACUUCUUCAUCUGCAAUUCCAAAUAGUUGCUCUAGUUCAGAAGAUCCUUCGACUGUGAUUAUUUCUAGUUUUGGCAGAGCAACAUUAACCGGAAACAGACUUUUCAUUUUAUUUCAGUAACCAACACAAAAUCGAUUCUUUCAACAACCCCAACCCCCGCAUAAGCCAGAAUUUCAAUUUCAUUACUUUUGGAAAUGAGAAAAACAAGAAACUGAGUGCGUACUGGUAAUAUUCACAGUCAAACGUAUUGCAUAUUUCAUCUGAUGGUAAAGGUUGUUGCAUCAUAUUUGAUAAACAAAGAGGAGAUAUUCGGGAUUUUUUUUUCUUAAUUUUAAUUUGGGCAUUGAAAUUUUAUUAAAGAGUGUUAGGCCUUGAAAAAGGGGAAGAUGUUUUUGGCAUAGAAACUUCAAGGACUUUAUAUUUUUCUUCUUCCAAUUGCCAUUGGUUUGUAAGCAAAGAUGGGAGUAAGGAAUGCAGUUGCCAAAUCUAACAAGUUUGUUUCACAAUUGAGGGGCUAUGUGAUCUGAUGUCUCAGGGUGAAGAUUUGUUACUUUUUCUCCCAGCGUUUUACAAGCAUGGAAAACCAUGGGGAAAUUUGUUGAUGUCUGACUCAGACAUGCAAGUAGACAUUACAAAUCAACUAAACAUUGUAAAAGAGAAGCAAAGAUCAACCAGCUGCAAGUCAACUAAACACAGAGAAAAACCAUGUUGCUCACAGUCCUUUCCCAAGUCAGAGAGGUAUAACUCCUGCAAAGACAUAAAUAUAUCAUAAUUUCAUUAGAAAUUGAAUAGAUUACAAAGGGCCAAGACACUGUUGCCUAAAUAUUGGAAGAGAAAAAUGUCUUGAAUCCCAAAGAAAGAACAUAUAUCACUCUAUGCAUCUAAUUAAUCAUAACUCAAGCAAUUACUUUAAUAUACGAUUGAUUAUAAGUGUACGUUAAUAAACUCAGUUACAAAGAUCAAUUAACAUAUGACCUCAAAAGUACAAAGCUUUCAUAUUAUUUCAAAAAAAUUUAGAUAAGCUCAUAUCUUUUUAUUGUAUUUAAUUAAAUUUUUUAAAUAUUAAUUUUCAAUAUCCAAACCUUUUUUUUUUUGGAUAAAACCCAUAGAUGAUGGUUAAUCCUUUAACAUGCGAUAAUAACUCCGUCACUGCAUGCAAUUGAACUUCCUAAUAAAUUCACAACAAAAUGGAAGAUACUAGAAAAAUUGGAAAGGUAGAUAAUACACCUUAAAUCAGAAUUGAAAUAUUUUUAUAUGUGUAAAAAUUAGAGAUUUGGGCCAAAAGAAAAUUUUGUACCUUUUCUUUAAAGCUUAUUAAAGUAGAAAAAUAAACUAAAGUUUGGAGUAUAAAUAGUGUAUAGUAUAUAUACAGGUAAAUGUCAAUGUAAUAAAAGUUUUCGAUGGGAAAGAUGUUUUCUUAUGAAAUAAACAAUCAACUAAUAAGUAUCAAAAGAAACAUUGGAACAAAUGAAAAUAUAACAAAAUUACCUUCAACUGAGACUGCGACGUAAGUCUUUGUGGAUCUUGGGAAUGAGUCAUUAAUUGGGGUUGGGGACUAAUAUUGCAAGGGUCAAAAUCUUUCGAAGAUGGUAACAUGGCAGAAUAAUUUCUUGGACAAAAGCUCCUCAAGUUUUUCAAGUUUUCAAGUGUUUAAAUCUGUUAUUGAGGGAGCACAAUACGGUGCCCAUCCUUUUCUUUUCCCAUGUUGGAGACAUGCAUUAAUUGAGGGCAAUCAAUUAUCUGAACCGAUUCCAAGUACGGAAGUCCUUGAGCCAAAGUGAUUGGAAACACAUAUUUCAAGCUUUUGCAACUAGCUGUCUGAAGAGAUUUCAAUCUUGGCCAGCAUAGAGAAUAGCAAUCCAUAAUUGAAACUAUUUCAUCCCCAUUUUCUGUUUCUAUGAUUAAAUGCUCUAAAGAGUCGGUUUUCUCUAUAUGGAGUUCUUCCAGAUGCUUCAUAGAUUGAGUAAGGGCAGGCAAAAAGAGAUAUACAAGCUUAGAACAUGACCAAAUUCUCAUAGUCGUUAAGACUUCGGAGAUUAACAAAAUGGGCAGAUCCUCUCCAUAUGCAUCUCAAUUUUGGUAAUGACUCAAGCUCCAAACAAGUUAAAUUUGAUAGUACUUGUGCCUCAUUUUCCUCACAUAAAGAAUAACACAUAAAAGUUGAGAGAUAUAAAGCGUCUUCUUUGCAUCUUUGAUACUUAUGCAGUAUCGCCAGCCCCAACUAGGACACCAAUUGAAAUACUUGUUACGCUCUAUUUCUUCUUCCAAACUCUGAGCUUCUCCCAAUUCUAUCUCUGCCUUUGUUAGCCACUCCUUAACGUCCUUCUUAAUUACCUCAGUUUGCCUUACAGCCUCAUCGACAUCAUCUUGCACCUGAUCUUUUUUCGAUUGAAGUGCUUUUCGCUGCUUCUUGAAAUCUUCAACAAUUUUGGCAAAACAGAAAAAGAAAGUGAGAUAAGGUCAUGCUUAUUCUUUUGCCAGAUUCCCUACAGCAUGUAAAACUGCGGAUGGCAAUUGUAUUCAGCCUGCAACAACAUUGCCCGUAGACUAGAAAACUCAAUAUCACAGAGAAGGAAGGAAAGAUAUGGGAUGAAACAAGAAAGGGAACCAAAAUAAAAAAACAAAAAAGAGAUGAAGGAACCUGACCCUCUCAAAGAAAUAAAAACCACAACAUUGUACACCAGCCAAUGAAAACCCACAACCUUAAAACAUGUCGUAUCAAAGCAACACCUUAAGUGCCCUUGAAGAGUGGACCAGUUUCAAGCCACAGUAGAGCAACCACACCUCACUGCAAAAUACAAUAAAAAUAAAACACAUUAAGCACAACGUAUAUAAUGUCAGAAAAUGAUAAUGGCAGAUGUAGCGAGCAUAGACAAACUAGUCAUUUCAUUUGUUUUUUAUUAACCUUCCAUGCAAUUAAAGUAACAAAGGGUGGUCAAACAGAUUCAGCAUGCUUGCAUUCUUUCUGCUUUUGCUAAGAGCCAGGAAUAAUUAUGAAAAUAUGUAUAAUUCGUAAAAUCAUGUUUACCUGCUGUGGUUGUUGGUAAGCUUAUGGUUGCUGGUAAUUCCCAUAUCCAAGAUAGCCCCCAUAGGACAUGUUAGGAUCUUGGGGAGGAGGUGCAUAUCCAUAUGCUUCAAAUCCUUGAGCAUAUCCAUAAUAUCCACCAUUCCACUAGGCCUGAUCUGGUUGAGCCUG
rnacentral:lncRNA from 1 species